CGUCGCAAAGGUGUAGGUUUUUUGCAAUAUCAUCUUGAAGCUUUGAAAUAGUUGCACCUUGAGACACCACAACCCAGAUCACAACAUCAAAUCUACCUAUUUCAGUGAACUUAUUGUGGAUUUUCUUGAAAAGGGUAGUCUUGCCUACACCACCCAUACCGUGCAAACCCAUGAUUCCAACUCCAUCUUCCAUAAGGCGCUUCCAUGCCUUUUCCAGCAUUGUUUCCUGACCAAUCGUAGGCCCAGUAGGCCUUUCUUCUACUGCAGAUCUCAAAACCGGCUCAGUAACCUCUUUAAAAUUACCCUCCGAUUUGAGUUUCUUAACCUCUUUCAGCAACAAGAAUACCUUUUUCCCAUAUUUGUAGCUGGAACAUACACUUUUUGAAGAUAAACCACAGAGACAUAACUUCUUAAGCUCAACAGGACUAGUACUAAGCAGAUUAUUGAAUCGUGUAUCGAUGCUCUCGACACGUGUUAGCCAUACCUUGACAGCUUCAAGCCUUUGUUGAUGUUGUGCCUCCUCUCUCGCUACUUUGUUCUUCACCUCAGCUUCAAUUGCCUUGAGAUCAUCCAUUUCCCUCUUCAGAGCCCUGAGAUUCUCCUUGAGGUUUCGAAUAUAACCUUUGCCACAUAAGAAUCUAAAGAUACGAUUGAGAUCACCACCAGUAAGUUGGAUAGGAUUACAACUCCCCAUGUCGAUAGAAAGAGAGAAAACUUUGAGUAAGCAACAAACGAAAGCUAAAGAUGAAGAAGUGUUUUAUGUGAAAAGCAUUUUACAAGUGACGAAGGCAUAUAUGAUUUGUUAUCUGUCGGUCCUCUUUGGUUUCUAAUUUCCACCACUCCCACAUAUGCAUCGACUGAUACGAUUCACAUGAAAAAUGAAAAGCCACACAAUUUCUCUAUGGUGAUAGAAAGAGAAUAUUUCUGAAGCUGAAGAAGUUUUUAUUGUCAAAAAUAUCAUUGGAGAUAAGAUAACACAUCUUUCUCCAAUACGGGUGGUUAGGAGAUUUUCCAAAGGGAAAAAAAAAAAUUGCUUACGAAAGACUUUGACUAUUCUAAUAUCCGACCAUAGAUUUUACGAGUGAAGACUUUGCUCAAACUUAUUUCAAGUCAACUAAAGUCCUAUCUUCUGCUCUUAUGUUCUUCGUUUGGCGCUUGUAGCUGUCAAUUUGUUAGCCAUGUUGGCUUUGUUAUUGUUUGUAAACAAGUCUUCCUCUAAUGGAGCGUAGCUAAUCUAUAAAAUCUCAUUUGAGCAAAAAGAAAAUUAAAAGGAAACCCAAGUCUAAGGUGACAGAAACGUGGAUUGGUCAAGUAGUGGAGAUGAUUAAGUAAUCAUUGUCUGUUAUGCCCAAAGUAGCUUACGAAGUGGAGUCUUCUUUUGCGUUGAAAUCCUAUACGAUUAUUGUGUUGUGCCGAUUCUAUUUUUUCGUUAGUCUCUCUGUAGUAGAAGAACAUACCUUAGAUUUAGGCAUUGCCUGUUUAUGAUUUCAUUUAGAUUCAUGUUUCUUUUUAGCACCCUAUUGAGAAUUUAUUAUGUGCUACUUGAGAUAAAUCUGGGUUUGAAUUCUUUAAGUUGCUCAUUAAUGGAGUUUUAGUCAUGUCUAAGAGUAGAAAGUAUAUAAAAGCUUUUAAAAAAAGACUUGAUGAAUGGCAGAAAGAAUAUGAUCAGGGAGUUUUAUAAAGCUGAGGAUGAUGAAAAAUCGAACAUACAAAGUAUUUUGCCAUGUCUAAAACCAGAAUGUCCUACUGCCAAAUCUGUUGGGUAGUAGAACUUUUCUAGUCAAUGCGGUGGCAAAUCGAAUCUGGGGGAAGAAGUGUAAGAUUUUUUCUCGAAAACUUGGUGAAACUUCUUAAUGUUGUAUCACGUAUUGUUGUUCCAUGGACUUCCGCUGCCACUUUAAUAUAUAUUUUUAUCGUCCCAUUCAUUUCUUGCUGAACAAGAAACCCAAAUGUGGAAAGAAAAGAAGAAGAAAUUGUUUGUGAUUUUAUCCUUUGAAGAUCAAUACACAUAUGUUUUUACAUUUUUAAAUAAUGAAAUUAAUCCCCCAAAUACAUGCAUGACUUUUCUAAUAAUUUUUUAUUAUGUUGUUCCAAUUUGUGUUUGUUGGGUGUAUGAUAUAUUAUGAUGCAAAUGGAGAGUAUCAGUCUAAAUAAGGGUGCAUACUUCAAGCUAUUCUAGAGCAAACAAGUAAGAAACUUUAGAGAUGAAAAAAAACAACUCAAGCGGAAGAGUAUAAGAGAACUGAUUACCAGAUGGAUUAAAGGCAAGAAACGUUUUUGGUAUCUUCGUCCUCCCAUUCAAGCUCAGUUUAUCUCUUCUCCAGGACCCAUACCUAUUGUAAACCAGGCAAUUCGUGGGACACUUGUAGCAUCUAAGGGAAGCUUUCUCAGCUGUGGACACUCUUCUACUGUUAAUUUUUGCAAUAACAGUAGAUACUCUCCGGCUUAAGCAAAUUUCUUAUCGAAAACACUUCUAGUUUCUGAAACGGUGUAAUACCUCUAACUGUAAGAUUGACUUCUUUCUCUUUGCUUAUAAUAAUAUCUUCUACUUCUUCUGAAUAUCCACGUAGACGACAAGAUUUGGAGCAAACAGUGGAUUUCUAAGUUCUCUAGUUUGGGAAAUUUCGUGGCUUAUGAUGAACAAGUUGGGGUUUACUGAAAUUGAGUUCUGGUUUAAUCAAGACUGGUUAUAUCAUUAAUUCUUUAAGCCGGUUAAAGCAGUAUUAUGGUUCUAUUUUGGAAGUGGGUUCACUGACAUUGAUUUUUUUUGUUUUGUUUUAUAAUUUAAUUCAUUUUCAUAGAUGAAUUUGAAAGGUUACAGCGCAAAUAAACCUCAGACCGGUGAUCAGGUGAAACAUGAAAGAUAAAAUUAUGUAUAAGCUUUCCAGCAGUCAAAUCCCAUACCUAUUGGAUAUGAUCAAAUAUUAUAUCAAUUGUUAGAAACACAUACGUUGGGGAAAAGAGAAUGCGCAAGAUCCAUUUAUAGAUAUUGCAGUGCUUACCUUUACAACAUUGUCAAGUCCUCCAGUCACUACAAAAUUUACAACAUACGUUGGAGUAAAUUUGAUAGUGUUGAUGCCACGAGUAUGACCCUUGUACCUCUGUAUGCAUCCCUUCUUUCUGAUGUCCCAAAUCUUCAAAUUCGUGUCACUUGAUCUAUGAUGCCAAAAAUUCACCAAAUGGAUGAAAUUCAACAGCAGAACAAUUGGAUCUAUGUCCAGUAAAAGCUCGAACCACUACACUUCAAGAGUAAGAGUGAACAUGUUAGACCUCAUAAUUCUAAAGUAAACGAUAGAUAUGGUGUGGUACACUGCUCAAAUAUCAGGACCCAUAAUCAACAUCUAACUCAAUCGGUAUCUCUAUAUGUUCCCAUUUGAUGAAACUAGCUAGGCAUAUAAGGAGCAACAAGUAUUCUAAAGGAGAGCAGAAAAUCAAUCAACUAACUCUUUGCUUCUUCUAGAUCCCAAAGCUUUCUCACACCCGAAGAAGCUCCACCAAGCACCAAAACUUCUGCCGAGUCAAAAGCUACUGAAUCCACUGCACUAGUAUGUCCACAUAAACUCUGCAAACAACUCAAGAAAUGAAUAUAGCAGCACUCUUCUAUAUAAAAAACAAUACACACUUUUUGCUCAACAAGGAGGAAAAAUUUAGACAAGAGAGAAAACGUGAAACACACCAUUAAAGAAGUAGGCUUGCCGAUCGCCCAAAGGUUGACAUUGUAAUCAUCACCACCAGUAAUAAGGAGCCGUGAUGUCUUCUUUCCGAUACUUAAGCAAUUUACAUUUGCAGAAUGUGCCAAAAACUCCUCUACGUUUCCAAAAUCAAGUCAAGGUAUAAGCAAACACCAGACAAGAACAGCUAAAGAAAGGAGCAGCCUUUGAAGCAACUCGACAGCAAAACAUAAAGCAGGUCAUAAAUGGAGAGAAGUACUUUCACAUACAAAACAUAUCCAGAAAAUAUCCAUUUUCUAUCAUAUUGAGCAGCCAGUGAUAGAAACAUUUGACCCGGAAUUAAUUUCUGCUAAAAUCUUGAAAUGCUAAUCAAAACUUGAAGCUUAUCAAUAGCAAACUAAGCUUUGCUCUUGGGAGUUUUUAAAGAUAAAACCCUAACGAUUCGGUGAUUUAAAAAAAAAAAAAAAAAGACGACAAAAAUUUCUCAGGAUGGAGCUAAAAAUCCAGAGUUCGUUCAAUUUUACUCAGCUUAAGAAUCAACAACAUCGCCAGGAAUAUAAAAGGAUACGCAGCUUAUAUCCACGCUUCGCCAUUUUCUACUCGAUUUCCAGCAAAUCCGUGGGAAUCAAUGGAAUCCGAAUCUCUAGCUUCCGUAAUCGAUCGAAAAAACGGUGAAUCGGAGCUGAAAAAAAAAUCCCAAUUGUCACUACACGACAGAGCUCGAGAUUUUCGGGAAAUUCAAAAGGAGAAACACGGAGGUUGCUUCCCGUUGAGAUUUCAAAUCUAGAACGUGAGAAAAGAAUCAAAUUCCGGGAACAAGAAUUUUGAAGGAAACGAGAUAAUCAGAGAUUCAAAUAGUGACACGGAGCAGAAAGAAAAAAAGAAACAGAAGAGAAGAAGAAAAAUGGUAAAGCGAAGGAAGUUUUUUAUGUUGUCAAUAUUAUUCGAUAGGUGAGGAAGCACCUCAUCAUCUCUUGGAUUUGUUUGUUUCCUAAAGACAUUGUCAACCUUAUAUAUAUAAAUAGGGUAAUUAAGCGUAGUGUUUUGUUUGGUAAGACAUAAUAUUAUACAUAUAUAACAUUUAAAUACUCGAAUCAAAGAGAUAAUUAAGAAAUUUUGAAUCAAAGCCUAUAACAUAGUGUCUAGAAAAUCAAUAAAAAAUCUUUAAAUGAUUUAGAUAUUAAAAUCAAUUUUUAAAAAUAUUUCUCAAAAUUUUGUGGAUAAAAUAAUCUAAACGAGAAUUGUUUUCAUUGUUUUGUAUAAUAUUUCGAAAAUUGAAAGUAGACUAAAUUAUGUAGAAAAGAAGAAUCUACGACCGCUAACAAACACCUGAACACGAAAUUCAUUAUGAUUAAACAAAUAUCAAACUUUCUUUUUUUCCAACAUUAGUAUCAUGUUUUUCAUGUCAGUCAGUUUCUAUGUUGCUUCUCAUCUUUAGAUGCUUUAGUAUUUCUCAAUGUUUUUAAACCCGACCCGGACAACGACCCGAAGUAUUCUUCGGAUUGUCGGUUAACUGGAUUGACCUGGAUUAAUCCGGGUCAACCGCGGAUCAACUAAGUAUAUAUAUUUGUUAUGUUUUUUAAUAAAUUUUAUCACUUUUGUUACAUUUUUUUUAAUGUAAAAAAAUACAAAUUUUUGCUAAAAAGUUUUGUCACUAAAUCGCAUUAAUUAUUAUAUAUCUUUUUCUAUAUAAUUUUUUUUAAUAAAAUUAAAUUAAAAUAUACACUAAAUAUAGUGAUCAUAUUAACUAUAUUUUUGAACAUUUUUAAUUAUAUAUUUUUUCCUUUUAUUUAUUUUCUUUUUUAAACAGUUAAUUUUUUACUAGAAAAUUUGAUAUUACAAAACUUACAAUUGUAUAAUGGUGAGAAAAUAACAAACUAUUCAAUAAAAUAUAGAAAAACAAACUGUUAUUACUACUAAAAACAUUCAAAUAAAAGUAUAUUAAUUGUCUCUAAAAUCCAAAAAUAAUGUAGAAAAUUUUAGCAAUAUUUUUUGAUUUUGUUACCACCUCAUUUUUUCCAUCUUCUGUUAUUGUAAGUGCUCUGCAUCUUGUUCUAAUUUUGUUUUCUAAAACUGUAUUUUUUUUUUAAAAAAAUAUCAUAUAUUCAUAAAUAAAUUUAUAAAACUAUUAAUUUUUUUCCAAACCAGAAACCCAUCCAGAUCGGGUUUUUGCCGGUUCACCGAGUUUAAGCGGGUUUUUCUGGAUUUAAGCGGUUUAAUAGCAUUUUGGGUUUCAACAAAAACUAAACCGGAAAUUUUACCAGGUCACGGUUUAACCGGUUAAACCGUCCGGUCCGAUCUGGGUCUGAAAACAUUGGUAUUUCUCUUACAACUAUGCUCAUGGUAUUUAGUGGUUGGAUGAUUUACUUUAAGAUUAGAAUACUAAUAAUUUGAAUAUUCUUACAACAAUUUCAACUGUAGUUGAAAUCUGAAGCCAUAUUAAAUGAUAAAUAUACUCAGUUUUUAAUUAUUCACAAACUACAAAAAUUAGUCUAGAUUUCGAUAUAGAAUUUUAUAAUUAUCAAUAUUUUCUUCUUCUUUUCCUGAUAGCAUAAGCUUUUAUUGUUUAUUUUUAGUUAAAAAAGAAAAUAAAGUAUAGCAAAUUAAACACAUUAUUGAAACAAAUGUUAGGAAUCUUAUACUGAAUAUUUGAUAGAACCCAAAGUAAUAUAUAAGUGAAAUGGAUCAAUCCGCACCAAUUAUUUUUAAAUCAGAACCCCAUAAAACGUAAUGUGGUAGCGGAAUCCAAAUUUUGUUGACUUACGGUAGUAAUAUAUAAGUGAAAUUAAUCAAUCUGCUAAUUACCAGCUACUUUUAAAUCAGAAUAUCAUAACGUAAUGUGGUAGCAUAAUCCAACUUUGUUGAUUUAAGUAGGAUAGCCCGAAUAAGAAAUAUUGUAGUUCGUGUAUGGCAUACUGCAAAUCUUAGAAUAUGUUUUGGUUUGAGUCUUCAAGAUGUGCGAGAUAGUUAUCAUCUAGAGGAAAUGGACUUAAAGAACUAUAUAAGAGAUACACUCAUAAUUCAUAUAUACCAGAAUCCAUUUUAUUACCAAUUUUUUUUUAGUUAGAACCUAUAAAACUUAGAAACAUAUAUCAUGAUAUAGAAUCAAAGGUCAUCUCACUAAAAAUUAUUAUGCUCACAUAUGGUUUAGUUAUUCAAAAAAAUAAAUAAUCAAACAUACGAAUUAACCAAAAUAUAGUCUUAAAAGUUUUAGGUCUGCUAAAAUGUUUUUUUUAGGUGUUACUAUGCUAAGCUUCAAAUUGUAUUGUAUUCACUCUUCAGUAUAAGACUAAUGAACAUUUAAUUUACAAUUUUGAAUUUUCUAAUGGAGUAGACCGAGAUCAGGCCCAGGCUAUAACCGCUUCUUACAGGCUAUUGAUGCAAUCAAAUGUUACAAAUUGCGAACGGCUAUUUGCUUUGUGUUAGCAUUGGUCCAUUGAAUUUUAAUUUUUUUUUAUAAUAUAUUGAGUCAUAUGUAAAUACUAGAUGCCUGGUACCGGUUCUUAUCAGCUUCGCUGCUUUGUAUAUAGUCGCCGUCUGCAAGAAUCAUUCUGAGAAAUGCUAGACAAGAGUGAGAAAGACAAUUUUGUAAAAGAAAGAAGAUUGAGUUUUGCCAGAAACUACUCUACAAGAUUGUUGUAGUUUCUGGACACGCAGCUAAUUCAAACGACGAACCAAUGUUCAAGACCGGUGGGUGGUGAAUAAUUGAGCGUAUCAAUUAAGCUUGCGAAUUUGUUUUUUUUUUUUUGGCUGAAGAUUUGUUCUUGGGUUCUUGUUUUAAUGUUCUUAAUGUGGUGAAGCCAUUAGGAAAGGAAUGUGAAAACUCUUAAAAUUAAGAAGACUCUUUCCAUGUCUUCUUAAGCGAAGUUGUCUCUAGUUAUUGCCCCAAAUCAGAAAGCCACUAGACAUAGUUUAGGAUUAGAUGGAAGUCAUAGCGUCUUCAGAUUAGGUUUAGGGGAUUUAAAUUAAAGAGUCUGAAAAACAGGAUCUUCAUGAUUUAGCAAAAUCAUAUAACUUUUCAUCUUGAUUCCUCCUGUUAACAACAGAAACACACUGCAAGAUGAAAUAGAAAAAGCUACAGGUAGAGGAAUUUGAUUUUGGAUAGUGAGGAAUCAAAAUACACAGUGAAUUCAGAGGCAUCACAUACUUUUAUGAUAUAAGCAUAAAAACUGUUGAUUAUAUAAAUACAUGUAGCUUGAGAAGGAAGCAAUCCGCCUUAACUUAUUACAUAGAAAAUUGAAAAGAGAAAAUCCAAUUGAACAACACAACACACUGCAGAGAGAGAUAAGAAUGCAUAGGAAAAGCAAUAAUACAAUCCAAAUGAGCAACACAUCACACUUUCAAGAAGAAAGAGAACGCAGAAGAAGAAGCGAGGAUUCUGGUUUCUGACAGUGAGGAAUCCCAAUCCAGCUUAAGGGAUGGUUAGACAUACUGAAUCCGCUAAAGAAGAAAAAAAUAAACAAAAGUUAGUGAAUAUUCAUAAAAAAAAUACAUUUCACCUAAAACUGCUAGGAAUAUCCAGCAAAAUCUUAAGAAGCUGAACUAAUAUUAAUCAGUUUCUAUUAAAUAUUUUUAUAUAUUCUUUGCUUAACGAAUGUGAAAGGAAAAGAAGAAGAAGAAAAACACUGUUUGUAGAUAUAGUCAUUUGAACAGCUCAAUGCACAUAUGUAGAAAUUUUAAUGACCCCUCGUAUAUAUCCAUUAAACACAGGUCUGAUGAUUUUCCAGAUAAUUGUCUAAUUUUGUGCCUCAAUUUGUGUUUUGUUGGAUAUCAUGAUGCAAAUGGAUAAUAUCAGACCAAAGAAAAAACGAUCACACCUCAUUCUAACCUUGAGCAAACUUGAAAGAAACGCAGUAAGAUAAAAUAAUUUAUUCAAGCGGAAGAGAAUAAGAGAAAUGAUUACCGAAUGGAUUAAAGGCAAGAUACGUUUUUUGGUAUCUUCAUCCUCCCAUUCAAGCUCAGUUUUCUGUUCUUCAGGACGCAUAUAUAUUCCAAACCCGUCAAGUCGUGGGACACUUGUAGCAUCAAAGGGAAGCUUUCUCAGCUUUGGACAAUUUCCUACAUAUAUGUGCCGCAAUGAUGGAAAGGGGAGAGGACUCCAGUAGAUACUCUCCAGCUCAGGCAACUGUAACAGGGAUAACUUUUCUAGUUUCUGAAAUGGUGUAGUACCUGUAAGAUUGGUUGCUUUCUCUUUGUUUAUGAUUUCUUCUAGUUCUCCUAAAUGUGAAAUGUCUAGCCAAGUCAGAUUUGGAGCAAACAGUAGCCAAGUCAGAUCCUUAAUGCCAGGACAGCUAACCAUUGCCACGACGGAGAGGUUGGUAAAGCGUGGACUUGUCCGAUUGUGUAAAUGAGAUGAGUCGGUCUCGCUUUCUCUGCAUUUAGUAUAUGUAUUAAUCUCCGAGACAUGACUUUUUUUCACACAGUGCUCACGAAGAUUCUCCAUACUCACCAGCGAUGACAUAUUGAAUGGCUUUUCUUUAAAACCUUGAAUAACCAGAUGAAUGAUGCAGUUAGCCAACCUUUGAUCGCCUAAUAUAUGCUUCAAACCCAACUCGGUAGAGAUCGUUAUGUCUAGAACUUGUAGAUGCUACAAGAGCUGCAGCUCCUUCAACAAGCUAACAUCUUCAUGAACUUUAGAAUUUUCUAGUCUCAAAAUUCUUAAACUCGACAGCUUUGAUAUCCCACUGAUACUACAAAGACUCUCUGUACCAGUCAAAUCCAGAUGAAUUAGCUUUUUCAACUCUUGGAAACCAACUGGCAGUUGCUUUAUACUUGUGUACGACAAGUUAAGAUACUGCAAGGAGGCCAGCUUCGAUAUCUGCUCAGGAAGUUUUUGGAAAUCAUCAUUAUCUGAUAGAUCCAAAACAACUAGCUUUUGCAUAGAGCCGAUGAAUUCACCUGAGAGAUUCUUCAACUUAUUCUUCUGGAGGAGCAGAGUUGUAAGUUCAGAACACUUGGAACUGCAUUUUAUCUCUUUAACCUCAUUCCUCAUUAAAGACAUCCUUCUCACAGCUCUCCAAUUCUUGACUUUUGGCGUUUCGUGUAAUCCGACUCCUGCUUGAACAAAAAAAGACUCAGAUGCAAUCCAUAGAGCCAUUUCGCGAACCACGUCAUGCAUCACAACAAGACCUAUCCUAUCAGGCUGUUCUGUCAGUAAAUUUGAGCGGAUAAGGGUACCAAGUACCUCAUAACCCUUAUUCACUGCCCUUUUAUAAGAUUGGUGUUCCCCGAUGAAUCCCUCGCACAUCCAAUAUUUUAUCAAAUCUCCUUUAUCUAUCUCAUAAUCUUCCGGAAACAGAGCACAAUAGAGGAAACACGACUUGAUAUGUUCACCCGCCAAGCUAUCAUAGCUAUACUUCAGAAUCGGAAGAAUUUUGUUUUCCAUGUCAGAAAACUCUGCAGCUGAUCUGGACAAAACAUCGACUGCAAGCUCCCAUUCUUGUACCGUAGUUUGAGAUGACAUUGUCUCACCAAUGACAACAAGCGCUAGUGGCAGACCACAACAUUCUUUAGCGACCUUUUUGGCAAGCUCGACAAUGGCAGGAUCUCUACUUAAUGUAUUAUCUCCUACCUUGCUUUUGAACAAUUCCCAUGCUUCAGUCCAUUCCAAACAGUUGACUUUCAUCGGCUCAUGAUCUCCCAUCCGCCCACAUACUACCCGAGAACGAGUGCUGAAUGUUACUUUGCAUCCAUUUUCUCUGGUUGGAAACGGAACUCCAAUGACUUCUAAAUCAACUUUCUCCCAUAUAUCAUCUAACAUCAGGACAAAUCUCUUCCCUUUUAAAACUCUGUGUAUAUUGAUUGCCUUGUCACUUUCACUUUUGUUCUUCCACUCGCCGUCGCAAAGGUGUAGCUUUUGUGCAAUAUCAUCUUGAAGCUUUGAAGUAGUUGCACCUUGAGACACCACGACCCAGAUCACAACAUCAAAUCUACCAGCCACUUCAGUGAACUUAUUGUGGAUAUUCUUGAAAAGGGUAGUCUUGCCUACACCUCCCAUACCGUGCAAACCCAUGAUUCCAACUCCAUCUUCCAUAAGGCGCUUCCAUGCCUUUUCCAGCAUUGUUUCCUGACCGAUCGUAGGCCCACUAGGCCUCUCUUCUACUACAGAUCUCAAACCCGGCUCAGUAACCUCUUUAGAAUUACCCUCUGAUUUGAGAAUCUGGACCUCUUCCAGCAACAAGAAUACCUUUUUCCCAUAUUUGUAGCUCGAACAUACACUUUUUGAACAUAAACCACAGAGACACAACUUCUUAAGCUCAACAGGACUAGUACUAAGCAGAUCAUUGAACCGUGUAUCGAUGCUCUCGACACGUGUUAGCCAUACCUUGACAGCUUCAAGCCUUUGUUGAUGUUGUGCCUCCUCUCUCGCCACUUUGUUCUUCACCUCAGCUUCAAUUGCCUUGAGAUCAUCCAUUUCCCUCUUCAGAGCCCUGAGAUUCUCCUUGAGGUUUCGAAUAUAACCCUUACCACAUAAGCAUCUGACGAUAUGGUUCAACGUUUGAUCACAGGAAAGUUGGAAAGACACACAAUUCCCCAUGGUGAUAGAAAGAGAGAAAACUUUGAGUAAGCAACAAACGAAAGCUAAAGAUGAAGAAGUGUUUUAUGUGAAAAGCAUUUAACUAAUUCUGAAGAAGGAAGAGAGGAUUAGUUAGAUUUUAGUCUACUAUGCGUUUUAAUUUCCGCCAUUGUUUCGAAGGACGUUUAGUCGUUUACUUUAGAUGCAAUUAUGUUUGAAAAAUUCAAAGGUCAAUUACCAACUCUUAUCAUUAUUAAGAUGCAACUAUGUUUUAAAUUAUACAAAGGUCAAUGAUUUAAUCGCCCAGUUUGGAUUAUUAUGCAACUAUGUUUUAAAAAAACAAAGCUCAAUUAAUGUUUAAUCACUGGGUUUGGAUUAUUAUCAUCACUUGUUGUUAAUUAUUUAAAUCAUUCACUUUAAAAUAUUUGUGAAAAAUCAAUUACUUUAGAAUAUUUUCCAAAUGACAUGGGAACCAAUAACCAUGAUCAAAAACGGUGUGGUGCGAUCGCACGAAGCCAAAAACAACUUACAAGAAAUCUGGAACAGAGCAGACAAUGGAGAAGUCUAAGGAUCUCGUCAAGGCUGAGAACUCAGAAUGGCCUCCAAAUUUUAUCUGCACCUGAAUUCAGAAUGGCCUAACAAAAAGUGCAGAAUGGCUUAUAAAAACUGCCCAUACCAAGCAAAAAAAAAAAAAAAAAAAAAAACAAAAAACAAAGUCAGUCAAUAACAGAUAUCAGUCUCGAAGUUGCUUUUUUGUUUCACCAAAAAAAAGAAAAGAAGAAGUUGCUUCUUUUGUGGGAAAAGCAGAGGUCAUAUAAAGGCUCAUUGUUACAGGUUUCAGAGGAAAGUAAAUCAGUUUUAGAAUCAUCAAGACUAUAUGGAAAAACCAUUGAGAUUCACAGAAGCAAAGAAUUUUAUUUUGGACAUCGAGGAAUAAAAAUCUAAAAUCAAAAUCCAAAGGUACAUUGAAGGAUGUUUAGACCCAAAACGGCUACAAAAGAAAAGAAAGAAAAAAAAGUUAGUGACACUUGUGGAACGCAUUGAAAUUGAGAGGGACAACAUAUUCUGAAAAUAAAAUUCCAUUUUAACAUGUCUGCAGGGAUUAUCCAACUAAUUCUACCUCACCAUUGAUAUCUUAAGAAGCUGAACUAGGUUUAAACGGUUUUGUUGCGGAUAUCACCAAUAUCAAUUCGUUCAAAUUGAGUUUCCGAUCUGAAUCUUUAGAUGAAAUAGAAACGAGAAAUAAGCAAUAGAAACUACACACAAGAUUUAUCCAGUUUAGGGGCCAACCGCGACCCUACAUCUGGCAGAGACUUCCUCGGAAUUCACUAAGAGAAUGGUUUACAGAGUAGCCGUUACUCUCACUGGAAGAUACCCCGAGAAUCCCUUUCACUCACCGGAAAGAUCUCACAGUUUUCACUCACCAAUUACAAAAAAUGGUAUGUCGAAGAAGAUCUCUCUCUCUCUCUCUCUCUCUCUCUCUCUCUCUCUCUCUCUCUGUCUGCAACUAAUUAAUGACCGACCCGUAGUAACAAACCGAAACAACCCCUGCGCGUAAACACACGCUCUAACGGUCACUCUUCGAUAUCAGCUUCUAGAAGAAGCUCGUAACGAUGACGUCUUGGAGUCUUACCUUAUCCGGUUCACCUAAUCCUGAAAUCAAUAUCCUGACUUCAUAAACCGGAACCUGCUAAUUGAACUAGAUGGUUUAUCAACCAAACCCAUCGGACAGGUUUUUUAACUUUCUCUUUUAACAUUUUUCUCCUCCCAUAUAUUCUUUGCUGAACAAGAAACCCAAAUGCCAAAUGUGAAAGAAGAAGAAGAAGAAUUAUUUGUGAUUUGAUCAUUGAAGAAUUCAAUACACACAUGUUUUGUAAUUUUGGAAUUAAUGAUACCCCAUACAAAUCCACCAAACACAUGUUUUAUUUUCAACGUAAUUUUACAGUUUGUGAUCCAGAUUUGUUUGUUGAGUAUCAUGAUGUACAUAUGGAUCAUAUCAGUCUAAUAAAACGAUUCAGACCUCAUGCUAACCUUGAGUGAAAGAAACUUAGUAGUAAAAAUAAUUACCCAAACAGAAGAGUUUAAAGGCAUCUUCUAUAUAUAAUUCUAUAUUUUACUCUAUUUAGAUACUCCAUUUUUAGAGUAAUUCUAUUUUUAGAGUAAUUCCAUUUUUUAAUAGUAAUUCCAUUUUGGAGUGAAAUAUGAAAUAGGUUUAGAGAGAAUUUUCUUCGAACUCGAAAUUUGGAGUAGAGUCGGAGAUGAUCUAAGAGAACUGAUUACCCCAUCGAAUGAACGCAAGAAACGAUUCUUGGUAUCUUCGUCCUCCAUUCAAGCUCAGUUUUUUGUUCUUGAGGAAUCAAUCUUAUUACAAACUGGCCAACUCAUGAGAAACUUGUAGCAUUUAAGGGUAGCUUUCUCAGCUUUGGACAGAGAUCAGCUACUAUGUGCUUCAGAAAUGGAAAGGCAAGAGGACUCCCGUAGAUACUCUCCAGCUUAGGCAAAUUCCUAAAUGUUAUAAAUUUUAGUUUAUGAAAUGGUCUUAUACCUGUAAGAUUGUUACUUUUUUGUUUACAAUGUCUUCCAGUCUUCUUGAAUUUUCAAUCUGUAGGUAGACAAAAUAUAUUGACUAGAUUAUGUUGAAAAAUGUCAAUCUCUAAAACAUUGCUUCAGUUCGCCAACCUUCAAUCGCCCAAUAAUUGCUCCAAAUCCAACUCCGCAGAUAUGAUUAUGGUUAGAACUUGUGGAUUCUCCAAGAGCUGAAGCUCCUUCAAUAAGCUAGCAUCUCCAUGAAAAUUAGAAUAUUGGAAUUUCAAAAUUCUUUAACUUGAUACUUUUGAUAUCCCAUUGAUACUAGAAAGUCUCUAUGUAACAAUCAAAUUCAGCUGACUUCGCUUUUUAAAAUCUUGGUAGCCAACAUGGAGUUGCUCUAUACUGUAUACAACAAGUCAAGAUACUGCAAGGAUGCCAGCUCUGAUAGUUUUUUCAUAGAGCGGAUGAAUUUACCUGAGAGAUUUUUCAAAUUAUCACUCUGGAGGAACAGAGUUUUAUAAGUUCAGAGCACUUGGAAAUGCAAGUUAUCUCUUUAAUCGUAUUCUUCAUUAAAGACAUCCUUCUCACAGCUUUCCAAUGCUUGACUUUUGGUACAUAACCCUUAUUCUUCGCUCUUUUAAAAACUUGGCAUUCUCCAAUGAAUCCCUCGCAGAUCACGUACUCUAUCAAUUUUUCUUUAUCUAUUCGAACAUCUUCUGGAAACAGAGCACAAUAAAAGAAACAUGACUUGAUACGUUCAUCCACCAAGCAAUUGUAGCUGUACUGGACAUUUUGCUAAUGUUGAGCAAACAUGACUUUAUCUAUAGAGGAAACAUGACUUUAUCUAUAGUGUUUUUGGUCAAUAGGUGGAAUGCAUUUAGCUAAUGACGAUGAAAGAGAGAGAUUGUGUUAGAUUUCAUUCCUCUUUGCUUUGUAAUUUCUCCCAUAGUUUCAAAGUCGUCGACUUGAUGCAACCAUGUUUUUAUAAAGAUGAUUAAUCCCCAGUUUCGGAGUAUUUUAAUCACAUUAGAUGCCACUAUGUUUUAAAAGACAAAGCUCAAAUUCGUUGACUUGAGCUUUUCAAGAACGAUUUGAAACGUGUGGCUGAUGUUCCAGAAAGAAAUGCACCUGAUUUCAGAAUGGCCUCCAGAAACCUGCACCAUACCAAGUAAAAUCAAAACAAAUUAAAGUCAGAUAAUAAAAAAUUAAAAGAGGAAUGCUUCUGGGGGACAACUCCUAAGCAGCAUUGCUCUUGGAUUUGGAAAUCUAUUCUCUCUCUCUUAUGCCCCUUGCAAAGAAUCUGAUCGGAUGUGAUGUUAGGGAUGGCGUGUCAACAAGUUUCUGGUUUGACUCUUGGACCAAUUUAGGUCUGUUGAUUGACUUGACAGGUCUUGAUGACCCACAAAAAAUGGGAAUUCCUCUUUACUCUUCGGUUGCUGACUCUUGUUCUCCCAACGGGUGGAGACUUUCCUCAGCUAGGACCAGAGACUCAUCUCAUUUAGCUAUCCGCAACACCAUUACUGAGUUAUCCAUCCCGCACCAAGAUCAGGGUGGAGACGUGUUUCUUUGGGGUGUAGAAGGUUCAAGAAGAGAUUAUUUCUGUACCAGCAAAACUUGGCAUAUUCUGAGGCUUAAGGAGGAUAUAAAACGUUGGUUGAAAGCUGUGUGGUUCAAGAGAGCCACUCUGAAGCAUGCUUUCACCUUUUGGACGGCAAACUAAGACAGGUUACCACUGAAAACAAAGCUUGUGAGCUGGGGAAUUAAUAUCUCUCCAACAUGCUGCCUUUGUGACAUGGAGGAAGAGACUAGAGACCAUUUGUUUCUACACUGUCCAUUUUCUGAAGCAGUUUUGACCAUGGGGAUUCGGCGACUCGAAUUUUUUUGGAGUCUCAUUCUCUAAUUGGCAGUCCAUGAUCAACUGGAUGCUUCAACGAACACCAAGACUCUCCUCUACCCUGAAGAAGAUCCCAGGCGACAAUUUACUUGUUAUGGCGUGAACGAAACCAGAUAAUACAUGAUGGUCCUCUAUCUUCUGAAAACCAUCUCUUCGAUUAGUUGGAUAGACUGAUUAGAGACACAUUGUUGGCACACAAUCCCAGCGUAACUAUAGGGGUCUUCUAUCUCUUUGGUUUAAGAGCCACUAGUUCUUCAAGCUCGAUUGUAAUUCUACUAAAAUGAUCUGUUUCCAAGCCUUUUUCCUUUUUUUAGGCUUUUGAAACAGUGGCUGAGAGAUUUAUAGAAUAGCAGCGGAUUAAGCAAGAAUAUAGAGAGAUUUAGGUGAGAUUAAUGAAAAACUAAAGAAAAGAAGAGAGAAUCAAGAGAUUUAGAGAAAAAGAUAUGUAUUCUCAUUUUCUUAGAUCUAUAGAAAGCUGCUACAUGUGUUUAAGUAGGAAGACAAAGAAAACCCUAACACAUAUGGGCUUACUAAAUACCUUAUAAAGUUUUAUAAAGUUUAUAAAAUCUUAUAAAGUCUUAUAAAGUCUUUUAAAGUUUUCUAAUUGGAUUCCCACCAGAAAAGCUGAGAAUGAUCCAUCUUGUUUAACAGUGGCUAAUGUAAUAUACAAUAUAAUUCAAAUUUUAUUUUAAAAAAUAUAAGUUGCUUCUUUUGUGGGCAAAAAACAGGUCAUACAAAAGCUCGUCGUUAGUCUUUACAAGUUUCAGAGGACAGUAAUAUAUAAAAUCAUCAAAUUAUAUCGAAAACCCAUUGAGAUACACAAAAGCGUGUGUUCAAGAGGAAAGAAUUGUACAAGAAUAAUCUAUAACAUGUUGCAUCUAAUUGUGUCGAUGUUACAUGGGAUCUUCUUCGUCCAUCUACUAUAGUCAUAACAGGAUGUUAAAGCAAGACUUAAAGAUGAUGGAUCCGAGUCUGAAGUUACAGAAACGUGGAUUAAGCAAUAAAUUGGAGAUGAUGAAAAUAAGUUAUGCCCAAAGUAGCUUAUGAUGUGGAAGUGGGUUUUGUUUUUUUUUUGCGAAUCCUAAAAGAUUAUUGUGUUGUGCUGAUUCUACGUUAGUCUUAGAAGAAUGGAGUGUGUAAAAUAGAGAAAAUUUUAUAAAAGAAGUAACGUUCAUAUGUAGAAAAGCAUGCUUUUGAAUGAAUAAUGACUUGGUUUAUUUUUCUGUUGAAAGAAAAAAAAAUUAUUUAAUAUUUCAAAACGAGUGUAAAAGUGGAAUACUUUCUCGCGACAGAAAAAAUAUUCACUGCUGGUGAUCUAAAUGACGAUCCCAAAUAGACAAAUAAUAUUAGAAAUCUAUCUAUACACUAUUAUUUGCGAGGUUAAAAAUUUUAGGUGUCGUUCCCACAACAAUUGUUCUACAUGGCAUUAAUGAAAAAAUAUUAUUUAUCGUUUUAAUUUGUUUUGAUAAAUCGAUCAUUAAUCCUACGUGUAAAAACUUGUGACUUGGCUUUUUUCUUCGAUAAUGGGCUACAGAAUUUGUUCAUGGGCCAGCGAUUUUGUUUUCACUCAUAGCCACCGAUUCUGGUAAUAGGGCACCAACGUCGAAACCCUAAACUCUAAAGCAUAUAUCCUACUAUAUAUACAUGUAUUAUCUACAUAUAUUUUUACAUACAACAACCGUCUUCAAGGUCUAGCAAUUUUUACAAAACUCGUCCACCUCUAUUACACGAAUACAUCUUUUUUAUAUCCCAAUCUGGUUUAAAAUAUAUCGUUUGUUUAGUUGGUUGUUCUUCCAUGCUAACCUUUGAAUCGUUUUGUUCUGAUCGAGAUUCUUUUAUGCUAACCAGUCAAAUAUCUAUGUUUUUUCUCUAUCAUGUUCUAUAUUACUAUGCAUCACAACUAUCUUAUUUUUUAACCCCUGUUUUACUCUCUAUGCGAUUGGUCAUCGAGAUAUCAUAUUUGUGUUCUUUCUUUUGCUUUGUAAUUCUAUAUAUAAAAUUCGAUGCUUCAGUAUUAGAUAUUCAUGUUUCUCUUUAUUAAAUUUUUCUUAUGGUUAUAUUUGAUAUUAUUCGUAAAUCUAAAUUGACCUGAGCUUCUUUAUUGUUUUCCUUGAACCUAGAGUUCAUCGUGCAAACUAUAUGUGAUUGGUUCAAACUUUUGCAAUCAUAUCUUCAAAUGAAUCUAACAUGUAAUUGUAAAUAAAUCAUUAGUACUUUUUUUGUCAACAACUUAUUAGGACUUCUAAUUUUCUUAAUUGAUAUUCGUAAACUCUCUAAUUUAUUAUUUUGAUAUUCUUAGAAGGAUCAAAACCAUAGAAAUGAGUUUUUUUGUGUGUAUAAUUCAUGUUUUAGUUUAGGUUUGUAUUAAUUUUUCUGGUAACAUAUUGUGAAUGAAUGUUAUUUAUUGUUUGAUUGUUUGAUUGUUCUUUGUUUCUCCUUGGGUUCUACUUUACAUUUUCUUUAUAUUGUUGUUUAUGUUUAUUUUUAUUUCUAAAUAUAAUUUAUGGUUUUCGUGGUAGCUUUUGUGGACAAGUAAAAAAAAAAAAGAGUAACCAGUUCAGAUUAAUUUUGGUUUCAUAGUUUACUAAAGAUAUGUAACAUGAACAAAACGUCUAUUGUUUUAUAACAUUCCCAUUGUUUUCUACCCAAAGGCAAUUAUGUUGGUUCUGGAAAAAAUGUUUUAUAGUUUUGAUUUUUACCCAACACAUUCUUUUAUCAGAAAAACAUUAAAUUACUCUCAAGAUUAAACUUAUCAGGCAUUAAAGCAAUAUCUUUGUUGGUAAGUCGAUGAAUGAGAAUGUGAUGUCUCAUAACUUCAAAGAGCAAAGGAAAAAUAAGUGACAACGAGACUAGAUUCGGUGUGAGUAGAAUCUUUACGCAUGUUAAGUACUUGUUGAUAUACAACAAUCGUAUUGAGAACAGAGUGCAAACCAAUUGCAAAUUGCACCAUCCAAUUGGUGUUAAAUUAUAUUAUGGUUAAUCCCUGACCCAUUUCUUAGUUUCAUCAUUUGUUAAUGAAUCAUCAGUUUUUUUUAACCCCUGAUGAGAGAUAAAAUCAGCUGAAGGAAGGAGAGUCACCAAUACAGAGAAAGAAGAAUUUUUGCUAUAAAAUAUUCAGGUCUUAAUUUUCAUCAUCCUUGUAAUUUGUUUCAGCUUGCUAAAACUACUUUUUUAGUGUUGCAGACUUCAUCAGAAUACCUAAUAAAUUGAUGAUUCUCUGACACCAGAAUCUAAGAAAUAUACUCACACGUGAUAAACUGAAAUUUUUGUGAAUUGCAGAAUGAACAUACUCACACGUUGCAUUUCUCAUAUGUUUUGAUGUCUAACAAGUAAUUCUUGUGUCAUAUAGCUUUGUUGCUUUAAAAUUUUAGUUUUUGAAUUGAAUUUAUCUUAAAACAAUCCAUCCUUUGAUUGCUUCUCUAAAACCAAAAUCUUACAAGACAAAGCUUAUAUUGUAUCUUCGAAGAAGGUUGAAGAAUGAGAUGAAAUCUCGAGUAUGUUUCUAUGUUCAAAAAACUCAAAUCAGAUUGUUAUGUGUUUCUGAAGUUCACUGGUUUAGUACUUGAACACGAGCAAACAGAGAUUGAACACUCAUACAUUGAGUUGGACAAUACUAAAACGGGUCGGAAUCCCUUACUGAAAUGCGUGAGGAAAACACAGAAGCUAAAGAAAAUAAUGGAUGAAAUGAAAAAAGAUAGUUGGGUGGCAAAUAAAUGUGUGAUUGAUAUGAAAAAUUGGAAAAAAGAGAUGACGAAGACUUGAAGGUAAUGAAGAGAACAAAAUUGAGAAGGAGAAGUUGAGGAGAUAAGGCUAAAGCUAUAUUGUAGAAUUUAUCAUUAAUUUAAAGAGAAGAAGAAGACGAAAAAGAAGGGAAAACCUAAGGAGAUAUAAGUUAUGAAUAUAGAGAGGGAGGUAUGGAGAGAGAGAGAGAGAUGGAGAAAGAAGGAGAGAGAGGGAGAUACAGAGAGAGGGGGAGAUACAAAGAGAGGGGGAGAGACAGCGCGAUGGAGAGAGAGGGGGAGUGAGGAGAUACAAAAAGAGAGGGAGAAGGAAGGAGGGAGAUAGAGACAGACAGAGAGAGAGAUGAAAACAUUGUAUGUGCAAGUAAACAAAUCAGAAUAUGAAAACAAGAGAAAAUAUGAAUCAGAAUAAUAAUCAUUCUGAAAAUAUGAAUACAAUGAAGACUGAGAAGCAGUGAAAAGACAAAGAAAAUCAAAAUAAAAUGUCGGGAGACUAGAUGAUGAUGAAGAAAAGGAUGAGGGAUAGGAAGACUGAAAGAUAUGUAAGAGGAAGAAGAAGAAGAAGUAGAAGUAGAAGUCAAAGACGAUGAAGAAAAAGAAGGAAAAAACAAGGAAGAAAAAACUCCGAAAGAUGAAUAAGAGGAAGAAGAGAAAAAUGAAUUCAAUGGAAAGAAGAAGAAUAAAAAUUCGAAGAGAAAGAAGAAAAAUACAUUGAAAUGGGAUAAAAAAGAAGAAUACGAGUAAACCCGGAAAAAAAAUUUCAGGGGAAAGAAUUGAUCAAACACAUCAAAAAAGAGUAAGAAAAAUACGAAGAAGAAAAAAAUAAAAGAUAAGGAAUAUGAAGAAGAGUUGAACAAAGAAGGAGAAAACAAAGAAGAAGACAAAUAAGAAGAGAAAGAAGAAGUAGAAAUAAAAAGAUGAGGAAUAAGAAAAGCGAAAAAUAAAUAAGAAAAAGAAGAAGAAAAGGCAAAGGCGAUAAAAAAUAAUUUCAUUUUAUACAUGAUUCUUCUGAUUGUUUAUAUGUAUUGUAACUAUCUAAGCUUUUGGCUAUAACUGGUCAUUGGUUUUUGUUGUCUUACAGUGUAUAGGUACUUCCUCUCUUCCCUUGUAUAUUUGUACGUGAUUAUCGUGACAUUUCUACGUAGGUAUUAGAGUAUUGAUACUUACGAUCUAAUUACACAUAUAUUGGAUGGUUGGAAGACAAUGAAGAAAAAUAAUAAAAAAAAAGAUGAUAAAGAAGAACAACCAAAAGAUAAAGAAGAAGAAAAAGAAGAAAACGAAUAACCAUUAUGUGGAAAUGAAAAAUUCGUAUUUGUAUUAGUUUAGUUUGUUUGUAAGUUUUAUACAUUUAUUUAGUAUUGCAUUUUGGGUGUUUCAUUUUAUGGAUUUGUUUUAUUUUGGUCAUAUUAAGUCACAAUUGUUUUGAUUUUCUUGAUUCACAUAAUAUAAAGUUUUGUUUUACAAUUUUAAAUCUCUCAAAGGUCCGCGCAAGGAGCUGACAAGACACCUAGUUUUAAUUUAAAUAAAAACAGAUUUUAUUUGAAUUCAAAAUGAUUAUUGGUAAGCCGGUGAUCACUUUGUAUUUUAAAACUUAAAAUUUUUUUUUAAGUUAAUACUCUUCUUCCCUAAAUAUUAAAAAAAGAAUGGGCAUUAUGACAAUCUUACUUUGUCUUGUAAAGAAAAAACUUAUGUUUUUCCUAACUCGAACGUUACAUCAUUAAUCGAAAUUAAAAUGUUCGACCUGAUAAAGAUACAUUCCAAACACGAGAAGCAAACGUAGCUGCGUAUCUUCUAUCAUAGCUGUAUCAAGUAUUGAGUAUGGUAAUCGAUUUGUAUUAUUGAUGAAGUAUAGUCACAAUAUAUACAAGAGGAGAGGCCAAUAUACAACGGUAAUCUACAUUAACUAUAUGAGCGAUUAUAGGAGAUGAUUAUAGGAUAUGAUGAGAUAUGAGGAAUAUGUGUUUCCAUAUUCUAUCACACCCACUCAAGAUGGACGGCCUGGUGAGAGUCUGAUCUUGACAAAAAGAGUUUGUAAUCGAGCUCGGGAGAGUGGUGUCGUGAGAGCAUCAGCCAACUGAUCCGGAGAUGUGACAUGAGUAACUCGCAGCUGGCCAGGCUGAACAAACUGGCGUACGAAAUGGUAGUCUAAAGCGAUAUACUUCAUCCUAGAAUGAAAAACAGAGUCUAUUGCUGCCAAAUAUGUAGCUCCUAUGUUGUCAGAAUAAAUGACUGGAGUGGAGGUGACAUUGAGGCCCAAUUCUGAUAGGAGAGAUGAAAUCCAGCAAACUUCAGCAGUGCUAGACGCGACUGAGGUAUUCAGCUUCGGUAGAAGAGCGAGAGACCCCAGUUUGUUUCUUCGAGGACCGAGCAAUGGGAUGACUUCCGAAGUAGACAAUAUAAGCAUUUGUGGAUGUGUAGUCGUCUUUGUUACCCACUCAAUCAGCAUCGGUGAAGGCAUGCAGAUCUGGUUUGUUGUUCGCUCGUAGAUAGAUGCCGUGAGAUAUAGUACCAGAGAGGUAGCGCAGGAUUCUUUUUACGGCAGUCCAAUGUUCAGUGGUCGGACGAUGCAUGAACUGAGAUAGUUUGUUAACAGAGAACAAGAUAUCAGGCCUAGUAAGGGAGAGAUAUUGAAGACUCCCCACAAUAAUUUGGUAUUCUGUUGCAUCAUCUAAGGCAGUACCGGAGAGAAGAGUGAGCGAUGAGUUGGCUUCCAUUGGUGUUGAGACAUGUUUAGCAUUGGUCAUGUUGGCCUUGUGCAUUAAAUCUGCAAUAUAACGACGUUGUGUUAGGUGUAGUCCAUCUUUCGUACGAGUUACCUUAAUACCUAAAAAUAAGAUAAAUCACCUAAGUCUUUAAGGGAGAAACGUUGAGAAAGGGAAGCGAUAAACCGAGAAAUAUGAGAGGAACUGUUGCCAGUGAUUAUGAUUUCGUCGACAUAAACAAGCAUGUAGAGAAGAAUGUCGUUCUGCUUAUAUAUGAACAGAGAGGCAUCAGCGACAGAGUUUGUGAAGCUGGAUUGAGGGAGAAACGUGCACAGCUCAUUGUACCAAGCUCUUGGAGCUUGUUUAAGGCCGUAGAUGGCUUUAUGGAGUUUGCAUAUUGCUUGUGGAUUUUCUUUGUCUUGGAAACCAGGCGGUUGGAUCAUAUAAACUUCAUUUUGAAAAUGUCCUUGUAAGAAGGCAUUGUUGACGUCAAGUUAUCGCAUCGACCAAUUCCGUGAAAAAGCUGUUGCGUCUACCACUGCUGAAGUUUGCUGGAUUUCGUCUCUCCUAUCAGAAUUGGGCAUCGAUGUCACAUCCACUCUAGUCAUUUAUUGUAACAACAUAGGAGCUACAUAUUUGGCAGCAAACCCUAUUUUUCAUUCUAGGAUGAAGCAUAUCGCUUUAGACUACCAUCUCGCACGUCAGUUUGUUCAGUCUGGUCAGCUGUGGGUUACUCAUGUCACAUCUGCGGAUCAGUUGGCUGAUGCUCUCAUGAAACCACUCUCCCAAGCUCGAUUCCAUACUCUUUCUAUCAAGAUCGGACUCUCACCAGGCCAUCCAUCUUGAGGGAGUGUGAUAGAAUAUGAAAACACAUAUUCCUCAUAUCUCGUCAUAUCCUAUAAUCAUCUCCUAUAAUCGCUCAUAUAGUUAAUGUAGAUUAACGUUGUAUAUUGGCCUCUCCUCUUGUAUACAUUGUGACUAUACUUCAUCAAUAAUACAUAUCGAUUACCAUACUCAAUACUUGAUACAGCUAUGAUAGAAGAUCAGCAGUUACGUUUGCUUCUCGUGUUUGGAAUGUAAUCUUUAUCAGGUUGAACAUUUUAAUUUCGAUUAAUGAUGUAACGUUCGAGUUAGGAAAAACAUAAGUUUUUUCUUUACAAGACAAAUUAAGAUUGUCAUUAUGCCCGUUCUUCUUUAAAUAUUUAGGGAAGGAGAGUAUUAACUUACUCAAACUCGAAAGGAAAAGCAAUGGUGUAGUAUAGGAGUAUCCAUUAACGAUCUGUAACGAACAUUACUAAACGACUCAUGUUUCAAAUGAAGAAAAUUAUAAUUUACUAACAAUUAUUUUGGGUAUAUCUUACGGUCUUACAUGGUGUUUAAAACUCUCUUAUCCUAAGAUAUAACAACAAAAUACCAUAUUCGUAUUCAUUUAGUAUAAUCUUUUUUUUUUCCUUACUUUACCGUUACAUCAUUCAAGCAAACAACACCUUUUGAUCAACACAAUAAUAGAACACACAAAUGAAUUACAGAACGUGAGUAGUGUUAAAAAGAGAAAAUUUUACUUGACAACAAAUCAAAUGAGAAUUUUCACACAAAAACAAGAAAAAAAAAAGAGAGAAAACUUAUUACCCUGAAAUUGAAUAUUCUAUUUUCAGAGAAAUAUGAAACACUCUACGCAACAAGCGGGUUCUCUAACAAUUCCUCAGUGGUAUAACCGUAAUUCUGAUACUGUUGCUGAUCCGACCCGUUUUUGCUCGGAUCUAGCCUAACCCGAGCCGGAGGCUGAUUGUUUUUCAUAGUCCCUGCCCCACCCACCCGACUCUGAUUCGAAUCCAUCAUGGAUCUGUUCGUUGCCGGUGAUCUCGUCCUUCUUCCGGAUCUCUCACCAUUACACGUACCCGAACCGAAUCUCGCUCCAUUACACGUACCGGUGUUUCUCUUACGAGGAGAUUGAUCGGUUCUUCUUCGGGUCGGGUAAUUAUUCCCUGUGACCCGGGUCCAAGAUUUAGCCGGAGAUCUCUGAGACAUGACUAUAAACCACCUCGACCUCACGAAGAUUCGCCAUACUCACCAGCAAUGGCUUUUCUUCAAAACCGAGAAUACACAGAUAAUUGAUGCAGUUAGCCAACCUUGGAUCGCCUAUGUGGAGUAGUUGUCGUUUUGGUGUCUAAGUCGUUUCUUAAUGGGCUUGCGACAUCAGGUGGGCUUCUACGUUUUACAAGUCUCGACUAAAAACAAGAGCUGGGCCUUACGGGAAAAUUGGCCCGAGCUCAAGGUUGUUAAAAACAAUCAUCGUUGACCAAGUCUUCGUCUUCUACAAUUGGAAUAACAGAACAGAGAGAGAGCGAAUUCUACAGAGUUCUAGAGAGAGAAAGUUUUCUUCUCGGUGAUCGGAGUUACAGCGAUCGGGUUGGUCGAUCUCGGAGGUCUCUGCGUCGAUUCUUUUCCAAGAGUUUUCCCUGCAAAUAGCUGUAGAAAGAUUCAGCAAAAGGUUCACUUGUAUAUCUGUUCUAAACGUUGAUAUAGUGAACGCAUGGUAGUUUAGUUCUACCCCCAGACGUACCGCGAGGGAACUGGGUUAACAAGUUUGCCUGUGUCAUUAGUCUAGAUUCUUCCGCAAGAACACCUUAGUUGAAUCUAGCUCAAUCGAAUUGAUCAAGCUUUUGGGACUAAGAAAUUGAUUCUAGUGUUAGUCGGAUUUCUUAACAAAGUGGUAUCAGAGCAUAGGCUUAUAGAUCGCCGGAGGGAUUACGGUUAAGUGAUCAGGGGGCGAUCUUGGAUCUGAGUUCGAUUGGUUAUCUUUGAAAUUCCUGAAGUCAGUCGAGUUUCUUCUUGGACCAAGUUAUUACUGCAUUCUUUUGGUCUUGGCUCAAGAACAGGAAAGAUGGAAGCAGUUAAGAAGUUUGAGAUGGAGAAGUUUGAUGGCAAAGGUGAUUUCGGUAUGUGGAAGUUUCGCAUGUUGAUGCAACUUGAGUUGCAAGGUUUUGGGAAACAAGUAAAGGAAAUCACAGGAGAGGUUAAGGAUGACACAAAAGGCAAGGACUUAGAAGAAGUGGACUCUGAAACAGGUGUGGCGUUAACUCCGGACCAGAUCAUAGAAAGAGAUGUGAGAAUCCGGAAUCUCAUAUGCUCAAGCUUAACAUCAAUGGUCCUCAGAAAAGUCAUGAAGGAAACGACAGCAGCUGGUGUGUGGAAAGCCUUAGAGGCUGAUUAUCAGACGAAGACUCUACCUAACAGAAUCUAUCUCAAGCAACGGUUUGCAAGUUACAGGAUGGACAAGAAUAAAUCAAUAGAUGAAAACAUGGAUGGUUUCUUGAGACUGGUUGAUGAGUUGGAAAGUUUGAAUAUCCAGAUAAGCGAUGAAGAUUAAGCCAUUCAAGUGUUGUCCGGGUUGCCCGAACAGUAUGCUUCUUUGGUGCACACAUUGAAGUAUGGAAACAAAGGCAAGGAUACCCUGACACUAGCUGAAGUGGUGCAAUCAGCUCACGCAAAGGAGGUGGAGCUUCGUGAGUCUGGUCUCUUGAAUAAGUCAAACCACACAUCAGAAGGGUUAUACGCGGGUCAAGGAAAGUCUGUAAAGAAAAGCAAAGGAAAGUUUGCUGGGGGAAAACAGAAGUCUGGGAAAUCAAAGAAGGAUUCCCAGGGAGGACAAGUCAAAGCACGAGAGUGCUGGGUGUGUGGCAAGGAAGGUCAUUUUAAGAAAGACUGUCCACAAAAGAAAACUCAGGCAUCCUCAAGCUCAGCAAAUUUGGCUCAAGAAAGUGAGAAACCAAUGAUUCUCACGGCGAGCACAAAAUAUGCUAAAGACGAGUGGGUGCUGGAUUCAGGGUGUACGUUUCACAUCACACCAGAAAAGGAUCUACUAUUUGAUCUCACGGAAUUUAAUGGAGGAAAAGUGUUAAUGGGAAAUAACACAUUUAGUGAGAUCAAAGGUAUAGGAAAACUGAAGAUUGUUAAUCCAAGCAAUUCAACAGUUGUUCUAACUGAGGUAAGAUACAUGCCAUCAAUGGGCAGAAAUCUGAUUUCCUACGGACAGUUGGAAAAGGAAGGAUGUUCUUAUGAAGGGAAAGAUUUCACGGUCACAUUCAAAAAGGAUGGGAAGAAUGUUCUUACUGGAAAGUAUAAAGACGGGCUCUACUACUUACAAGGGUCAGUAGUUGAAGGAGAGGUGGAUACAGUUUCUAGAGCUGCGGUUAAUCUGACAAACAGGUGGCAUUCCAGGUUGGGGCACAUGAGCUUAAAGAAUAUGAAUCAGUUGGUUAAAGAUGGUUAUCUUAACAAAAAGGAAGUUCAUACUCUGGAUUUUUGUGAAGAAUGUGUUCUUGGGAAAGCACACAAGUUAAGUUUUCCAACAGGCAAGCAUACAUCAACCGUGAACUUAGAAUAUGUUCACAGUGAUCUUUGGGGAUCUGCAGCGAAUUCUGAGAGCUUAUCAGGCUGUAAAUAUUUCUUGACCAUCAUUGAUGACUAUUCCCGAAAGGUCUGGAUCAGAUUUCUAAGGAGUAAAGAUGAAGUGUUUGGAAAUUUUUCAGAAUGGAAGCUCUUGGUGGAAAAUCAGACGGGUAAAAAGAUCAAGUGUCUCAGGACGGAUAAUGGGUUGGAAUUUUUCAAUGUUCAAAUGGACAAGAUAUGCAAGGACUCAGGAAUAAAGAGGCAUAGGACCUGUACCUAUACUCCACAGCAAAAUGGGGUUUCAGAAAGGAUGAACAGGACCAUUGCUGAUAAGGUUAGGUGUAUGUUAGCGGAAUCUGGAUUGGAGAAAAAGUUUUGGGCAGAAGCAGCAUCUACAGCAGUAUAUCUCAUCAACAGGACACCUAAUGCAUCACUUAAGUUCAAGAUACCAGAAGAGUUGUGGUCAGGGACAAAAAUCGGAUAUGAUCAUCUCAGAAGGUUCGGGUGUAUAGCUUAUGUUCAUACUAUUCAAGACAAGAUCAGUCCUCGGGCUUUAAAAGGUAUUUUUAUGGGGUAUCCUCAUGGAACCAAGAGUUACAGGAUCUGGUUGUUAGAAGAACAAAAGACUACAAUCAGCCGAAAUGUUAUCUUUGAUGAAUCCAGGGUGUAUAAGGAUUUGGGGAAAAAUGAAGAAGAAAGCCUUGAACUUAGUGAAAAGGUUGUCAUUAACCCAAAGACUAAGAAGGUCCCAGGCUCAAGGGUCACAAGAGUAAACAGAGCAGGCUCAUCUGGAAGGAGACGAUCUACGGUUCAAGGUGGAGCUGUUUCAGUUGAGUCAGAAGAUUCAGAUACCGAAGAAAAUGGGUCUGAGGGUGAUCAAGAAGAUGGUUCUGAACAGGAAAAUGCAGGGGUGGAAGAAAAUCUAGAUAACUAUAUCUUAGCUAGGGACAGAGAAAGAAGAACGAUUCGUCCCCCAGCAAUGUUUGAAAGUGGGGACUAUGUUGCUUAUGCCCUAGCAAGUGCAGAAUUGAUUGAACCUCAAGAACCGAGAACUGUUUCAGAAGCGAGAAGAAGUAAAGAGUGGAAACAGUGGAAUGAGGCCAUGGUAGAGGAGAAGCAAUCUCUUGAUAAAAAUCACACAUGGGACAUUGUGGAUAGACCUCAGAAAAAGAAGAUCGUUGGUUCGAAAUGGAUUUUCAAAUUGAAAGAGGGAAUUCCAGGAGUUGAACCACCUAGAUACAAAGCAAGACUUGUAGCUAAGGGAUUCACUCAGGUGGAAGGAAUAGACUACAACGAGAUCUUCUCUCCAGUAGUGAAACAUGUCUCGAUAAGGAUAAUGCUAUCAGUGGUUGUGAAUUUCGAUAUGGAACUCGAGCAACUAGACGUGAAGACUGCAUUCCUUAAUGGUAAACUAGAUGAAACUAUUUACAUGGAACAACCAGAGGGUUUUAUCGAGAAAGGAAAUGAAGGAAAGGUAUGUCUGUUGAAGCGGUCUCUUUAUGGUUUAAAACAGUCGCCGAGACAGUGGAAUCACAGGUUCAAUGAGUUCAUUCAGUCACAAGGUUUUAAGAGAAGUGUGAAGGAUCCAUGCGUGUAUUACAAAGGUUCAGUUGUGGAGGAUAGUGUCUACUUGUUAUUAUAUGUUGAUGACAUGUUAAUAGCAGCUAGAGACAUGGUGAAGAUCAGGGCACUAAAGAAGAGUUUGAGUGCAGAAUUUGAAAUGAAGGAUCUUGGAGCAGCUAACAGAAUUUUGGGAAUGGAGAUCAUAAGAGACAGGAAAAAGGGAAUUCUGAAGCUUUCACAGGCAAGAUACAUAAGUCAAGUUUUAAGGACGUUUAACAUGAAAGAAAGUAAGCCUGUUGUCACGCCAAUAAACUCAUUGUUCAAACUUAGAAGUUUAUCAGAGGAGGAGUUAAGGGUUGAAGCUUCUCUAAUGGAAUCAGUUCCCUAUGCAAGUGCAGUGGGAAGUCUGAUGUAUGCCAUGAUUGGGUCAAGACCGGAUUUGGGUUAUGCAGUUUGUUUGGUGAGUCGGUUUAUGGCAAAGCCAGGAAGGAAUCAUUGGGCUGCUGUUAAAUGGGUUUUGAGGUAUCUUCGGGGAGCUACAGAUUUAAGUUUGACUUUCUCAAGGGCUGAUUCAAUGGAAAUUGAAGGUUUCAGUGAUUCAGAUUAUGCUACUGAUCUUGACAGAAGAAGAUCAGUAACAGGUUAUGUUUUUCAGGUUGGAGGAAAUACUGUUAGUUGGAGGUCCACAUUGCAGCAUGUAGUGGCUUUGUCCACCACAGAGGCUGAAUAUAUGGCCAUGUCAGAAGCAACUAAGGAAGGUUUAUGGUUAAGGGAAUUUUGCAACGAGUUGGGGUUUAAUUUUGAGUAUUUUAAGCUACAUAGCGACUCUCAGAGUGCUAUCAAUUUGGCUAAAAAUGCAGUUCAUCAUGACAGGACAAAGCACGUUGCUACCAAGAUUCAUUUUAUCCGAGACAUCCUAGAUGAAGGGCUAAUCCGCAUUGUUAAAGUUCACACUACUCUAAAUCCGGCAGAUAUGUUGACUAAGAGUUUACCUGGAAAUUCUUUCGAGAAGUGCCUCGUAACUCUCAAAGUCGUCGCCUGAUCGUCUACAGGCGUACUCGUUGAUGGCUCUGUUGGUUGGGCCAUCUCGCACGAGAAAUAAGGAGGAACAGGGUUAGUUUCUCGGUGGAAAAGAUUAAACCAACAAAGUUCAGAAGGUAAAUUCUGAGGUAUCUGGUAAAAGAUAAACAGGAGAAGAGUUUUGGUGUACAUGCAUGUGUUGAGGGGACUUACUUAGCACAAGGAGGAAGCGCAUCGUACUCUUGCAUCUCGGCCUGAGCUGUUUUUUCUCGGGAUAAGGAGAAGUCACGGCGAAGAAGAGAUAGAAGUUAGUAUAACUUCGUGUUUCUAAUUCUAAGAUCUGAAGAGAAGUUCAGAGGUCACUUACUUAGAGGAGAACUGAAGUCGAUUGGAGCUGGAGGCGGCGGUAAGGUCAGCGACGGUGAGGUCGGAGGAACCAAGGUCGUGAGCAGGAUCGAUUCAGGAGGUGUUUGCGGUGGAGUAGCUGGAGGAGUCAAAGGAGGUGACUCCAUAACCUAAGUCGCUGUUGAGUCGGCUAGGGUUGGUGAAGAGACAAGACAACGACAAAGGUGGAGAUUUGUGGAGUAGUUGUCGUUUUGGUGUCUAAGUCGUUUCUUAAUGGGCUUGCGACAUCAGGUGGGCUUCUACGUUUUACAAGUCUCGACUAAAAACAAGAGGAGCUGGGCCUUACGGGAAAAUUGGCCCGAGCUCAAGGUUGUUAAAAACAAUCAUCGUUGACCAAGUCUUCGUCUUCUACAAUUGGAAUAACAGAACAGAGAGAGAGCAAAUUCUACAGAGUUCUAGAGAGAGAAAGUUUUCUUCUCGGUGAUCGGAGUUACAGCGAUCGGGUUGGUCGAUCUCGGAGGUCUCUGCGUCGGUUCUUUUCCAAGAGUUUUCCCUGCAAAUAGCUGUAGAAAGAUUCAGCAAAAGGUUCACUUGUAUAUCUGUUCUAAACGUUGAUAUAGUGAACGCAUGGUAGUUUAGUUCUACCCCCAGACGUACCGCGAGGGAACUGGGUUAACAAGUUUGCCUGUGUCAUUAGUCUAGAUUCUUCUUUCCGCAAGAACACCUUAAUUGAAUCUAGCUCAAUCGAAUUGAUCAAGCUUUUGGGACUAAGAAAUUGAUUCUAGUGUUAGUCGGAUUUCUUAACAGCCUAAUAUAUGCUUCAAACCCAACUCGGUAGAGAUCGUUUUGUCUAGAACUUGUAGAUACUCCAAGGGCUGCAGCUCCGUCAACAAGCUAACAUCUCCAUGAACUUUAGAAUCUUCUAGUUUCAAAAUUCUUAAACUCGACAGCUUUGAUAUCCCACUGAUAAUAUGAUUUAACUUCAGAUAAAUUAGCUUUUUCAUAUCUUGGAAACCAAGUGCCAGUUGCUCUAUACUUGUGUUCCACAAGUUAAGAUACUGCAACGAAGCCAGCUUCGAUAUCUGCUCAGGAAAUUCUUUGAAAUCGAAAUUAUCUGAUAGAUCCAAAACAACUAGCUUUUGCAUAGAGCCGAUGAAUUCACCUAGAAAUUUCUUCAAACUAUUAUUCUGGAGGAGCAGAGUUGUAAAGUGUUCUGAAGAGUUGUAAGUUCAGAACACUUGGAACCGCAUGUUAUCUCUUCAAUAUUAUUUUUCAGAAAUCCUUCUCAUAUCUCCCCAAUCCUUAAAUUUUGGCAUUUCGCAUCAUCUGACUCCUGCUUGUAUUAAGAGAUAUUAGAAGAUAUUAGGCUUAUUGGACGUUGUAUAGAUAAUUAUUAGAAUUAUUAGAGUAAUUUGUUGAUCUCCAACAGGUUUUGACUCAAAAACGUUUUGACACAACUGACUCUUAAGAAAAACAAACACAAUGUCAGCAACUACCUCCCCCAGACUUGAAUAACACUGUCCCCAGUGUUAUCUAGUCCGAAGGUGGCGAAACAAAAUAAAAGAAACAGAGAAACGCAGGAAAAACAGAGAACUUACCUGGCUGCAAUGAUGGUGUCGCGCGACACUGAUGAUGGUGUCGUGCGACACUUGUUUUCCUCGUACCGAAUUGCAGCAGACCAAUCCGAAUUUCUGGUUUGACUCCGGUUGCCUGAUUUCCUAAAUUUCUUUUUUUUUUUUUAAAUAGAAGCAAGUGACAAGCGACACCGAAGGUGGUGUCGCUCGACACUAACAUCUGCUUCACCUGAGACACGAAAAGAAAAACGAAAAUCAACUGAAACAAAAAGACUUAUGCACAGACUCACCAGUGGAUUGCCUUCCACCAAGCGCUUGUUUAAAGUCAUUAGCUUGACUAUGGAUAGACUAUGCAUCUGGUGGAUCAGACAGUGGCAAAGAGUGCCUCUGUGAAAUUCGUCUCAUCCAUGGUGGUGUGUAAGCGUUGUGCGCAUGAGGUCGUCCAAGGAAUGCAGGAAUAGCACCAGGGUGAGAUCUGUGUUUGGGUGGCCUUGACCUAUUCCCUGCAAUAUCAUCAAACGAAAAACCAAGUGCUCUACGAUAAUCUCGUAGCUUGCGUUGUGAGACAGAGCCUGCAUCCUUUGAAUCAGUUCCAAUGAUAUCACGAGAAUUAGGCUUAGGCUCAAGAGGUGCGUAUCUUUGCUUUGGUGGAGAUGGAUGGAGUGCAAUGUUUGGAGCUUCCUGAUCAACAGCAGUCACUGGUUCUGUGGACGUUUUCGUCAACUCAGAUUGAUCUCUCACCAUCUCAGCAUCAAACACGUUCUGAUCUCCAACUAUCACCUCAGGUAUUGCAGUGACUUGGAAUGUCUGACCAUCUAUGGUGGGAUCCUUCAGAUCUUCCCAGGAUAAGAGGAUCUUUGGGUUCCUCUCCAUAUUGCAGAACCACGAAAUCUGUAGGAAUUAUGCAAUCACCAACUUUGAUUGGAACAUCUUCCAAGACACCUUUUGGGAUUCUUUUAGACCGAUCUGCUAGGAUCAAAGAGAUCUUAGUUGGCUUGAAGUCAGUCAUCCCAAGGCUAACAGCUACAGAGUGUGGCAUGAGGUUGACACUCGAACCAAGAUCACACAGCGAUCUCUUGAACCUCUCUGAGAAGAUAGAGCAGUCCAAAACAAAACUUCCUGGGUCCGAGAGCUUUUCUGGAAUCUUAUUAUGAAUCACAGAACUGACAUGUUUAGAGAUCAUCAUCGCUCCUUCCUCAUGACCCACAUUAUUAGUCACCAUCUUCUUCACAUAGUGUCUGAGAGUAGGAGCAAUCUUCACAGCAUCAACCAAAGGAAUCUCAAUCACAAGCUUCUCCAUCAAAAACUUGCAUCUGGCAUCAUCUAGCUCCUGCUUGGACUUCCUAGGACUCCUUGGGUAAGGAACCUUAGGUUUGUAAACCUUUUCCUCAGCAGAUUUCGGACUUUGAGCAAUAUUAGCUUUGCUCUGCAAUUGGUGACGCGCGACACUGGUUGUGGUGUCGCUCGACACUGGCUCUGCAGUUUCGAAAUUUUUUUCAGAUUCGUCAAACUCCACGAUUUCAUCCUCAAAAACACCCUUUUUCAGCACAGGAGUCAACUUUUUACCACUCCUUGACGAGAUGGCACUGCAGUAAUGCCUAGGAUUGGUAUCAGUCUUCCCAGGAAGGAAUCUUUCUUGCCUUUUUACAGACUCUGCAGUCUGAGCAACCUGAGUAUCAAGCUUCUUGACAUGAGUGUUCAGAACUUCAAUUUUUCCAUUCAGAUCCAGAUAUAGAGCAUCAAUCUUCCCAUUGAAAUCCACAGUCAUCUUCUGCUGACCUUCCAAAAUCUGUUCCAGCAUAGACUUCACCUCAUUAUCUGGAGUUUGAGUAGGAAGAGAACCAUAGUUCCUUGAAAACCUGUUGUUGGAGUAGGAUGUCUGGUACUGAGGUUUGGAGCUGUAACCAGAAGAGUUCUGAUUACCUGUGAAGGUACUCCUCUGAUUAUUUCCAUUGUAAUUCGUGUUCCCUUGCCCAGAACCAAAUCUCUGACCCUGAAAUCCAGCUCCAUUGAUGAAGUUAACAUCCUCUUCCUCAAAAGCUUCAUCUGGUCCGAAAUUCUGAACUCCUGCAGGGUAUCUGACAGAUUUCUUACCCACAAGAAGACUAUGCACAGAGUCAAGCUUAGCCUUCACCUCAGCAAUUUGCGAUCCAUCCAGGUUCCCAGCCUGCUUCCUUCGCCGAUAGUCUGCAUUCUUGGUACUAUUGCUAGAUGCCAAGUUUUCGAUGAGCUCAACAGCUUCGUCUGGGUAUCUGGUGUUGAAGUUUCCAUUGCUCGCUGCAUCAAGAGCCAUCUGAUACCUCCAGUCGAUACCUCUAAAGAAAAUACCCAGCAACUGCACAUCGCUGAAGCCAUGAUGGGGACAGUCUCGCUGGUACGAUUUGAAUCGCACCCAGGAAGCUUUGAACGCUUCAGUUGGUUCCUGAGAGAAUGUCGAAAUUUUCGUCCUCAACUCCUCAGACCUAGCAUCAUCGAAGAAGUUGUGCAGGAAAGCAUUCCUGGUCUCUUCCCAAGUAGUGAGUGAUCCUGGCUCCAACUGCUUCAACCAGUUAGCUGCCUCUCCAGCAAGAGAGUAAGGAAACAGCUUGCAGAGGAGGAAAUCAUUGGACACUCCAUUGUAUUUGAUGCUGGUGACCAAGUCCUCAAACCUCUCGAUGUGAUCCAUAGGGUGCUCAUGAGAAAGACCAUGGAAAGGAUGCUGACCCACGAGAGUGUAAUACACAGGCUUGAGCUCAAAAUCAUUCCUCUGAAACGCAGGAGCGCGAAUCGCAGACCGAUUUGCAUAGAAUUGCUCAGGCCUGUUGUAGUCACCCAGCGUCCUGAUGAUGUUACCCUGUCCAUCAAGUCGCUGGCCUCUCUCAUUGCACACAUGACCCUCUCGGUCUCUCCAGAUUCUAUCAUCAUCACGAACAAGUCCAAUGGCGUUUUCCAUCAUUGCCGGAUCUCUUGCUUUCCUGUUCGUUCGCUCUAACUCAGCUAGCUCCUCGUUGCUCAAAUUAACUAGCGGGAUGUCCUUGUUGCUCCUGGUUCCACGAGUAUGCAUAAACCUGAAACACCAAAAACAAAGAGAGAAAACGAGAUAAGUAAACUAGGUUAUAAAAAGAAGGGUGUCGCGCGACACUAGGUCGAAAAACUUAGUCGAAACUCAAAAACUAGGUUCAAUGGCGAAAUCAAGUCCCCGGCAACGGCGCCAAAACUUGAUCUGCUCAAAGUUUAAUCCCUAGAGCUACUCUGCAAGAGCACAGAUGUGCAAUUGUAGUAUAAUAGGGGUCGAACCACAGAGACGAGAGAUCACUCAAUAAACCUUAUAGAGAUUGAAUUACGCUAAGCAGAAAUAUUGUAAAUAAAUAGCAAUGCAACAGAAUUAGACUAAGCAGCAAUAAAAACGGUUUGUAAGAUUCAGAUGGAUGGAGAUUAGGCUUAGGGCGUUUCUCAGGAAAUCAAUGCAUGCAGAACAAUCGAUAAAUUAGGGUUCAGGUUUAAGCACGGUUCUUGAACUCGAAUCACAGAAUUAUAAUUAACCAACUUCCGUUGUGAGAAUUAUCUAAGUUAAAAUCCUAGAAUUCCAAAUUCCUUUGCAAACCCUAAAGAUUUAAACCAGCUUUAAUGCUCAAGUUCGAUAUGUUCACAAAGUAUCUAAACCAAAUUCCUUUGCGAAUAGCUACUUUGCUCACCCUAGGUUCUUUCCAGUUAUUCAAUUACACUUCCGUGUCAAUUAAGCAACCUAAGAUCUAAGUGCUAGGUGGCCAAUCCAGAAUUAGCUUUAAGAACAACCUAUGGUGAAGAACUAAAUAGAUUAUGAACCCUAACUAACCAAUCAAUCUAACAUCCAAUGAAAUCCUUUAUGAGAACCCUAAACCUAACAAGCAAACUACUCAGACAUGGAGAUUGAAGCAAUAAGCAUCAAUGAAUAGAUUGCAGAAAACAGUAAAUAGAUUAAUAAACAGGGGUUCGAAAUCUUCUCUCUCCGGAACAGAGUUUCAGACUUGUCUCCCCAAAAACUCUCAAAAACAAAAACUCUCUCUAAGAAAAUCUAAGGUAAUCGUAAAAAGGGAAUAAAAGCCCUAUAUAUAUCUCUAAGACACGUUUUGGGCUUCCUUGAAAACGUUUGGGCCCAACUCCUUCUUCAAAUAGGAAACAAAAUCACGUUUUCCUUAUUUCUGCAACAAGUGUCGCGCGUCACUCUCCAUGGUGUCGAGCGUCACUAAAGCACAAAAUCCAUACUUGACGAAUUUGAUCCUGAUUAAGCUCCAAAGUGCUCCAAAGUCUCCAGUUAAGCUCCAAACGUACCUAUGACCUGAAAAGACUCCAAAAGACUCGAAAGACACUAAAAAGACUCUAUAAAUAAGACUUAUACCAUGGUUAAAAACCAUAAAAACCAUGAUAUAUCAUUUGUCUCACAUUGCUAGUUUUUAACUCAAGGUUGACUAAUGUACGUAUUUUUAGGCAGAUGAAUAAAUCACUUCCGCAAAUUACUUUGACAUGGUAUCAGAGCCUAAGACUACAUAAAAUUUUGGUCUAGCUCUUGAAUCAGAGCCUAAGGCUACAUAAAGUUUUGGUCUAGCUCUUGAUUCAAAUUCUUGUUUAUAAGUUGUGGUUUAUUGGAAAAGCAAACCGACGAGGUCUUGCUCUUUUAUUUUUGGUGAACUCGGACCAACGAGGUUCGGGAUUUCUGUAAAGCCAUAAGGGCUUGGAAUUUUUUUAUUCGGUGGAGAAACCUUGGGAAUUUCUCUGUUUUUUAGAAAAUAUGAGAUUUCAGAGUUGAGGAAUUAAGUGUUCUUAUUGUUCGAAGUAUGGUCAUGAUAUGAGAUCAUGUUAUCAGGUAUAUGGAUAUCCAGAUUGGUAGCUGGAGAAGUAUGAAAAACCUACGAAACAUGUGUCACACUCUGAAAAACGUGUGUCACACACGGAGGCGUUACAGGUUGAUCCACAAGCUAUGACAGGGCUCAAGAAAGAUCAAUGGCAUAAGCUUGUUCGAUUCGAGAUUAGAGAUAGCAAAUUGUGUGAGUGAUAACACCUAUACAGAUAAGUGGAUUAUUGAUAGUGGUGCGUCGCACCAUAUGAUGGGUACGUUAAUUGGUAUGUUUGAUGUGCAUAAAGUCUCACCAUGUUUAGUGGGUCUGCCUAAUGGAAAUGUUAUGGUUGCUGUUAGAAAAGGAAGUGUGGCAUUGACGGAGAACUUAACUUUGACACAUGUGCUUUUUGUCAAGUAACUCAAGUACAAUCUCAUCUCUGUGUCACAGAUUAUUGAUCCAAUGAAUUGCAUUGUGUUGUUCUCCAAGCAAAUGUUUCGGAUACAGGAUCUUGCUUUGCAAAUUCUGAUUGCAGUGGGUGAAAGAAAAGAUGGAUUGUAUUUUCUUCAAGGUAUUCAGAAGACCGUGAAUGUGGCGAAGGUCAGUAAGUUGGGAUCUUUGGAACUUUGGCAUAAAAAGAUGGAACAUGCUUCUGAAAAGGUUAUUAGGAGAUUGCCAGAAGUGGAUCAAAAGAGUGUUAGUGUUUCCGAUUGCGAUGUCUGUUUCCGAGCAAAGCAGUGUCAGGAUGUAUUUCCUGUGAGUACAGAGAAAAGCAAAGAAUGCCUUGAGAUGAUUCAUUGUGAUUUGUGGGGGCCAUAUCGAACACAGAGCGUGUGUGGAUCCUUAUAUUUUUUAACUAUCGUGGAUGAUUAUUCUAGAACUGUGUGUGUUUUUCUUCUUGCUGAUAAAACACAAGUUCAUAAAACAAUGGUAAAUUUCUUUGCUCUCAUUCAGCGUCAGUUUGAGAAACAUGUGAAAAUCGUGCGAAGUGAUAAUGGUAGUGAAUUCAUGGGUAUGAAGGAGUAUUUUUGUACAUCAGGGAUAAUUCAUCAAACUUCGUGUGUAGGAACUCCUCAACAAAAUAGUAGAGUGAAGCGAAAACAUCAACAUAUACUGAAUGACGCACGAACGUUGAGGUUUUAGGCAAAUUUACCAAUAGAACUUUGGAGUUAUUGUGCUUUGAGUGCUGCGUAUCUAAUUAAUCAUACGCCUUCUAUGUUACACAAUGGUAAGAGUCCUUAUGAAAUCAUCUUUGGAAAAGCUCCUGCUUAUAGUGAGAUACGAGUUUUUGGAUGUUUAGCGUAUGCUCAUAAUCAGAAACGUCAUGGAGAUAAAAUUGCGAGUAGAAGCAUAAAAUGUGUAUUUUUGGGAUACCCUUAUGCAAAGAAGGGAUGGAACUUAUUUGACUUGGAGACACGUGAGAUCUUUGUUUCUCGGGAUGUCACUUUUAUUAAGGAACGAUUCCCAUAUUUGGAGCUAACAAAUGCACAGCUGGAUGUGCCUUCUAAUUCUAAUCAAAUGAGGUUAUAUGUGGAUGAUAAUGCUGGAUUUGACGAUAUAGAACCUGCCUUGACAAGGGAAAUUAUAUAACCUCUCACAAGAGAUACAAUGACACAGACUCAGGUUGUGUCAGACAAGGUUGCAGAAGAAAAAAAAUAGACUAUAGGAAACGAAAUACGUGAUAUCUUAGGAAUUACAGCGCCAAAAAUUGAACCUGCAUCGGUUACACAGUCUGAGAUUGUGCAGCCUGCUUUAGUGACAGAACCUGCAUUGGUUACACAGUUUGAGAAUGUGCAGUCUGCUUUAGUAACAGAACCUGCAUCGGUGACACAGGCUGAAACUAUGCAACAGCCUGCAUCAACAGAAACUUUGGGGCGAGGAAUGAGAAAGAAAGAAUCUUCUGUCAAGUUACGCGACUAUGUGUGCAAUACGACAUUUACAAUGAAUAUUUCCACUGUGAGUCAGGAGUUGAGUAAUGAUUAUGGUAUUGAGAAUUAUGUAAAUUGUGAAAGGUUCUCUGUGUCACACAAGGCAUUUCUGUGUAGUAUAACUGAAGGAGUUGUGCCGAAAAGUUUUGCUGAGGCCAUGAAGGAUCUGCGAGAUCUGCGAUGGAGAGAAGCUAUGAGACUCGAAAUUGAGGCCCAAGAACGAAAUCAAACAUGGUUGAUUGAACAAGUACCACCAGGUAAGCAUGUGAUUGAGUGUAAAUGGGUUUAUACAAUUAAGUAUAAUGCGGAUGGCUUGAUUGAAAGGUAUAAGGCGAGACUCGUGGCAUGUGGCAAUCGUUAAAAAGAAGGGAUUGAUUAUUCUGAUACAUUUGCUCCUGUAGCAAAGAUGAGCACAGUUCGAUUGGUUCUUCAAGUUGCCGCUGGGAAAAGUUGGGAGCUACAUCAGAUGGAUGUGUAAAAUGCGUUUCUUCAUGGAGAUUUGGAUGAAGAGGUUUUUAUGAGGGUACCUCAGAGUUUUGGUGCUUCUAAGAAGGGUAUGGUAUGUCGUUUGCGCAAGUCGUUGUAUGGUUUGAAACAAGCUCCGCGAUGUUGGUUCGUGAAACUUUCGAAGACAGUUUUAGGGUACGGUUUUACACAGAGUAAGGCUGAUUACUCUCUUUUCUCAUUAGUUUGUGAUAAAGUUCACUUGCACGUUCUAGUGUAUGUGGAUGAUCUUGUGGUGACAGGAAACUCUCUUGAGGUGAUACAAAAGUUUAAAACGUAUUUAAGCAAUUGCUUUCAUAUGAAGGAUUUGGGAAAAUUGAAAUAUUUUCUUGGAUUGGAAGUUGCAAGAAAUGCAGAGGGUAUAUACUUAUCACAGAGAAAGUAUGCUCUGGAUAUUAUUGCUGAUGUCGGUUUGCUUGGUGGUAGGCCUGUAGAGUUUCCGAUGGAGCAAAAUCAUCAGUUGGGAAGGUCGACGACAAAUAUUUUGAUUGAUCCAAAGAAAUAUUGGAUACUGGUUGGAAGGUUGAUUUACUUGGCUGCGACUAGACCAGAUCUUGCCUAUUCAGUUCACAUUUUAUCUCAAUUUAUGAAUGAGCCAAGAGAAGAUCAUUGGAUGGCUGCAUUGAGAGUUGUUUGUUACUUGAAAGGGUGCCCGGGAAUGGGGAUUUUGUUGAAAUCUGAUUGUAAUUUUCAUCUUACAGCUUGGUGUGAUUCAGAUUGGGCUGGAUGUCCAAUCACGAGGAGAUCUUUGAGUGGAUAGUUGAUAAAAUUGGGAAAUUCUCCUGUGUCAUAGAAGUCAAAAAAGCAAGAUGUUGUAUCAUGCUCUUCAACUGAAGCAGAGUAUCGAGCUAUGGUUUUGGCAUUGAAGGAGUUGAAGUGGUUAAAGAGUGUGUUGUUAACGAUGGGUAUUGCACAUUCUGGUCCAAUGGAUUUAUAUUAUGACAGUCAGUCUGCGCUUCAUAUUGCAGCUAAUCCUGUGUUUCAUGAGAGAACAAAACAUGUGGAGAUUGAUUGUCAUUUCAUUCGAGACGAUAUACAAGCUGGAAUUGUUCAGACCCAACAUGUUUCUACUACUCAACAGCUGGCGGAUAUCUUCACUAAAGCACUUGGAGGACGUCCGUUCAAAGGAAUUUUGUGCAAGUUAGACAUUCGAGAUCUUCAUGCUCCAACUUGAGGGAGGGUAUUAAGAGAUAUUAGGAGCUAUUAGGCUUAUUGCGCCUUUAUUUAUUAGAAUUAUUAGAGUAAUUUGUCUUACAUUGCUAGUUUCUAAGUCAAGAUUGACUAAUGUACUUGUAUAUAUAUGUGCAUUUAGGCUGAUGAAUAAAUCACUUCGGAAAAUUACUUUGACAUCUUGAACCAAAAAAAGUCUUGGAUGCAGUCCAUAGAGCCAUUUCGCGAACCACGUCAUGCAUCACAACACCUCUUCUACUAUUAGACUCUGUCAGUAAAUUUGAGUGGAUAAGGGUAUCAAGUACCACAUAACCCUUAUUCAUUGCCCUUUUAUAAGAUUUGUGUUCCCCCGAUGAAUCCCUCGCACAUCCAGUACUCUAUCAAUUCUUCUUUACUUAUUUGAAAAUCUUUUGACAAAGCACAAUAGAGGAAAUACGACUUGAUGUUGUUGAAACGUAAUCGUACUGAUUGAGCUCAAGCAACGACAAACUCUCACUCUAUUGAACUCUCUCUCUCUCUCUCUCUGAAGAUUCGCAUGAGUAUAAACGAGAGAAAGACGAAGAACACAGAGCACACGAUUUGAUUACCCAAAGUUCACCUCCUAGAUGAAGGCUACGUCUCUGGGGCCAGAUCUCGAGACGGCAAUUCCACUAACACGAAAAAAUCACAAGUCUCCAAGAACCGAGAGCUCGCGAGAAAGAAGACGAUAAGGUUUGUUACAACUGUGCUAACGGCUAGAUCCUAAUCCUUUUUAUAUACAAGAGGCUUACAACAAAACCGGAUAUUAACCAGAACCAAAUUAUAUCCUCUUAAUUGGACCAAUACUUGAUAACCAACUAAGAUGACUAACCAGUCUAAACCCAAACAUUAAUCUAGCCGUUAUACCAGAAUUGAAACUUAGACCAUAAUUCAACAGAUGUGUUCACCCACCAAGCUAUCAUAGCUGUACUUCAGAAUUAGAAGAAUUUUGUUUUCCAUGUCGGAAAACUCUGCAGCGGAUCUGGUCAAGACAUCGACUGCAAGCUCCCAUUCUUGUACCGUAGUUUGAUAUGACAUUGUCUCACCGAUGGCAAUUAGCGCUAGUGGCAGACCACAACAACUUUCAGCAACCUUUCUUGCGAGCUCGACAAUUUCAGGAUCACUUUUCAAAGUAUUGCCACCGACCAUUUUUUCAAACAAUUCCCAUGCUAUAUGUUUUUCCAGACAGUUGACUUGCAUUGGUUCAUGAUCCCCCAUCCGCUUACACACUUCGAGAGAACGAGUGGUGAAAGCUACUGUGCAUCCAUUGUGGGAAACGGAACACCAAUAGCUUCUAAAUCAACUUUCUCCCAUAUAUGAUCUAGCAUCAGAACAAAUCGCUUCCCUUUUAAAACUCUAGUUAUAUCAGCGGCCUUGUCACCUUCGUUUUUGUUCGUACACUCGCCGUCGCAAAGGUGUAGCUUUUGUGCAAUAUCUUCUUGAAGCUUUGAAAUAUUUGUGCCUUGAGAUACCACGACCCAGAUGAUAACUUGACACCCACCAGCCAUUUCACCGAACUUAUUGUGAAUUUUUUUUGAAAAGUGUAGUUUUUUCAACACCACCCAUACUGUGCAGGCCCAUGAUUCCGACUCCAUCUUUCAUAAGACGAUUCCAUGCCACUUCAAGCAUUAUUUCUAGGCCAAUCGUAGGCCCUGAAGGCCUGACUUCCACUACAGAUCUUGUAAGCGGCUCAGAUACCUCUUUAAAAUCACCUUCCAAUUUGAGAAUCUUAACUUCAUCCAACAACAAGAAUACAUUUUUCCCAAAUAGCUUGAGAAUACACUUUUUGAGCAUAAACCGCAGAGACACAACUUUGGAAGCUGAAUAGUACUAGUACUGAGCAGUUCAGUUACUCGUGUAUGGAUGCUCUCGACACAGUUACAAUAUAGAAGAAUCUAGAAGAUUCUAGAUAUUAUUGUUAAUAUUGUGUAUAUUAUUAUUUAGAUAUUAUAGAGAUUUGUAUCUAUCUUCUUUAGAAAAGAUCUAUGGUAUAAAUAUGUAUCUACUCUAUUCAUUAUAAUUAUGAGAGUCAAUAUACAUUACAAUUCUUCCAAUUCUAAACUCUCAUCACUCUAGUAGGUCAAGCCUUUUUCGAUGUUGUGUCUCCUCUAAUGCAACUCUGUUUUUCACCUGUUGUUGAAAUGCUUUGAGAUCUUCCAUUUCCCUCUGAAAAGUUCUUCUUGAGGUUUAGGAUAUAACCUUUACCAAGUAAGCAUCUAAAGAUACCAUUUACUGCUCCAUCACAAGAAAAAUUUGACACCCAAUUCUUAAUAGAUUAUAUGGUUACUGGUUUGUAGAUUUGUACAUUCUUAAUCGAUUCCACUAUUAUUCGUAAAUAGAUUAUAACAUUCUUUAAAAAUCCAUUGUUAUUGGUUUGAUGAUUUUUAUAAUCUAAUCAAAAUUCAUUGUUCUUCAAAAAGUUUAUAUUUUAAUGAUUUUAUAAUUAUAUUAAAAGCUAGUGUUAUUGGGAUAAAAAUUCUUUACAAUUCAACUCAUAAAUCAAGAUUUUUAAAAUACUAUCUAUAUCUAUUGAAUUCUUAAAAUCUGUCAUAGUAAAAUUAUUUUGUAAAUUGUUUUAAAUCCACAACACUCUCUUCAAAUUUUACAAAUCUAACAAAACUCUUGAAGAUUUGACUAAUCUUAUUACUUUUUAAAUCAACCAAAAUCUGUCAUAUGAUUUAAGGUGAUCCAGCUCUAUCUAUGCGCCACGUCAGCCUUUGUAAGGAGGACACAUCUCCCAUCUUUUAAUGCUUUUAUUUCAUCUUCUUCCCCCUCUAUUUUAUCUCAUAUUCCUUGUCUCACAGUGGCUCAAUCUCUCUUUUAUUUGUUUGCCAAUUUUGGGGAUUUGAAGACGGAAUAAAGAUUAAACUUUUUCUCAUAUUGUGUUCUAUGCAAUAUUCAAAUUAAGAUGAGAUGUGGAAAAAUCGUUAUAAAGAGGUUCUAGAAUGUGAAUAGCAGGCAAGUUACCUUCUCUAAGAGGCAUGAUGGGUUGUUUAAGAAGGCUCAUGAGUUAUUUGUUCUUCGCGACACUUUUAUCUCCGUCUUUUUACUCAUAUUAUGUUUAUGAUUUCUAGAAUAGUAGAAUAAUUUUCUUACUUACCCUACUUUCAAUCCUUAAAAAAAGUUAUUUGUUUGAUAAAGAUUUUAAUAAAAAAAAAACAAAUACCAAACAAUCAAGCAAAUUACCAUAUUUUUAUAAUUAACUACAUAUAUAUAUAUAUAUAUAUAUAUAUCAACACAAAUUAUUUUUAAAAAUAUUAUGUAAAACAAAACUCGCGCGUAUGCGCAGGUACAAGCCUAGCCUUUAUAAAUCCAAAUUCCAAUAACCUCUCUUAGCAUAAAUAAUAGAAAUGAUAAAACUAAAUAAAAUAAAUAAUUAACUUUAGAGUCGAUUACAACAUUCUCGAUUGUUAGACCAACAACAACUUCAUUUUGUUUUUUUUUUUGCAAAGUCUUAUAAUAUUCACCUUUUUUUUUAAAUAUUCUCCAAAAAAAUUUUAAUCAGAGAUUGAGUUGGAAAAAAAUAAAUUUUGGAAACAAAGAUUAUAAUUAGUUCAAAAAUGCUACCUUUUAAAAAAUGAUGAGUAAAAUAGAAGACAUUUCUUCUUAUAUAGAGGCUAAUCGUAGGGAUUCCAAUUAUGUUAUAUAGAUUUUCAAAAAUUUUGAUUUUUUAAAAAAUAAUCAGUAAUAAACAGAAAAAAUAUAAAAUAUGUUUGAUAACUAUAUUAGGUAACAACCAAAUUUCAUCUGCAUUAUAUUUGAAAAACUUAUAACUGAUAUUUUUGCAAGAUAGAUUUUUGUUUUUGUCUUGAAUAUUUUUUUUUAAAUGGUUAAACUACAAUGAUUUUUCCAAAAGUAUAAAAAAUCAGAAAAUAAUCGAUAAAAAUAUUGAAUGCAUAGUUUUAGUUAAAUAUUUUUCAAUUAUAAGCAAAUAGUUUUCGUCUCAUGCGCCGCGUGAACCGUGAAGUAUCUAUAAAAUAUUACUAAACAUGAUUUAAUUGAUUUAAAAUAUAAAUAAUUUAAUUGAUUUUAUAUGUAUGUUAAUAAUAUUAUGAUGAGUAAUGAUAUGAUUUUGUAUUAGUAUUACAAUUACAAAUAUAUAAUAGAACUAUAAGAUUUUAUUAUUGAUUUUCAUAUUGCUUUUGUUUUUCUUUUUUUUGUCGACUGCUUUUGUUUUAAAUAUGAAUGUAAUUAUAUAGUUAAUAGUUUAACUGAAAAAUCGAUAUAUUUUAUUGAAUAAAAAUUUUAGUAAUUUAUUUUGUUUUGUUUUUUCAAAUUCAAAUUAUCGCAUAUGCAUAAAAAUAUUAAAUUUUUAUAUGUUUGAUGUGAUAAUUAAUUCAGAAAAAAGUAAACAAAGAAAUAAAAAAAUAUAUAAUGAUUUAAAAAUAAUUCUUAUUAUAUAAUUGAAUAAGGAUUGAAUAUAAGAAAAUAAUUAAUAUGAUAUAAUUAAAUUUCAGAUAUUUUUGAUUCUAUUUGAUUGGCUAAUACAUAUGCUUUGAAAUUAUUUACUAGUUUUUGUGUGUCUAAUCAAAGAAAGAAAGAUUUUUUAAAAAAUUACUUUUAAUGAUUAGUUUAAUAAGAUAUAUUUGAUUUUUUAAUCAAAUUAAUAUGAAUGGAAUUAAUUAUAAUUAUUCUAGUAAUAUAAGUCUUUUUUUUCCAAAAAAAAUUGAGAGCAUAGCAAAAUUGUUAAUAUUACAUAUGACAAAUGUUAUUUUUAAAGUGUUUUUCUCAAAUAAUAAUAUAAAAGAUUUCAAAUUUCCACCGACAAUCAUUGACUUUGGAUUAUGAAAAUUUGUGAAAAACAAAUUACAACUCUUCAUUAACUUUACAUGUAUCCCAUUAAUUUAAACUGGUUAUACAAAUACUGUUGGCAUUCAAAUCCCUGCUCAAUGAAAAUAAACCCGUUGAUCAAAGAGUUAAAAAACAAAACAAAAAAGUGAAAAGCGAAGGAAAAGCUAGAUAACGAGCUAAAACAAGGGAACAAGACGUCAAGACCCCUACAUAUACAAAAGCAAACCCCUACGAGAACAACAAAACAAAACAGUACACUUGCAGAGAGAUAAGAAUGCAAAGGAUACAAAAGCAUAAAACAAUUUGAAUUGGUUUUAGUUUGACAAGGAAGCAACCCGUCUUAAGUUAUACAAUAGGAGAAUGAAAUACCUAAUCCAAGUGGCGUCACAACACACUUGCAGAGAGAUAAGAAUGCAAAGGAAAAACAAUAAUAGGAUAAUACAAUCCAUAUGAACAACACAUCACACAUCAAACAAUAAUACUCUGAAGAUCCCCUUUUACAUACGCAAAAACAUAAAACUAUUUGAUUUGCUUUAGUUUGAGAAGGACGCAAUCCGUCUUAAGUUGAUACAAUAGGAAAAUGAAAAACAUAAUCCAAGUGAACAACACAAAACACUGCAGAAGGAUACGAAUCAGUAAUGAUAUCCAAAAUGAACACAUCACACUACAAGAUCAAAGACAGAAGACGAAGAUGCGUAGAUUCUGUUCUUAGUGCCGAAUCCUUAUGCAUAGUGAAGGAUGUUUAGUAGACCUAAAGCAACAAACGAUGAAAAAAAAGAAACAAAAGUUAGUGAGUGACACUUGCGGGGCUCAUUGAAAUUGAGAGGCACAAGCAUAUUGAGUAUAUAUAAAUCUUAAGAAUCUGAACUACUUUUAGUCGUUUUCUUUUAAUAUUUCUAACCUCCCAUUUAUUUCUUGCUGAACAAGAAACCCAGAUGUGGAAGGAAAAGAAGAAGAAAUUGUUUGUGAUUUGAUCCUUUGAAGAGAUCAAUACACAUAUGUUUUUACAUUUUGAAAUAAUGAAACUAAUCCACCGAACACAUGCAUGACUUUUCUAAUAUUUUUUUUUUAUCAUGUUGUCCAAUUUGUGUUUGUCGGGUAUAUCAUGAUGCAAAUGGAGAGUAUCAGUCUAAUAAGGGUGAAUACUUCAAGCUAACCUAUAGCAAACAUGAAAAAAACUCAGAGAUGAAAAAAAUAAAAACCAAAGCGGAAGGGUAUUAAGAGAACUGAUUACCAGAUGGAUUAAAGGCAAUAAACGGUUUUUGGUAUCUUCGUCCUCCCAUUCAAGCUCAGUUAUCUCUUGUCCAUGACCCAUAUCUAUUGUAAACCGGGCAAGUCGUGGGACACUUGUAGCAUCAAAGGGAAGCUUUCUCAGAUUUGGACACUCUAGUACGCUUGUGUGCCACAAUGAUGGAAAGGGGAGAGGACUCCAAUAGAUACUCUCCAGCUUAGGCAAACUUGUCAGCGAUAAGAAUUCAAGUUUCUGAAAUGGUGUAAUACCUGUAAGAUUGUUUGCUUUCUCUUUGUUUAUUAUUUCUUCCACUUCGUUUGAAUAUUCAAUUUGUAGGUAGACAAGAUUUGGAGCAAACAAUAGCCAAGUCAUAUCCUUAAAGCCAAUACAGCCAUAGAUAUGCACAAACAAGAGGUUUGUAAAGCAUGGACUUGUCGGAUUGUCUAGAUCUGACAAGUCCGUCCCGCCUUCUCUGCAUUUUGUAUUAAUCUCCGAGAUAUGACUAUUUUCCAGCCAGAGCAUACGAAGAUUCUUCAUACUCACCAGCAAUGACAUAUUCAAUGGCUUUUUAUAAAAAGAUUGAAUACACAGACCAUUGAUGCAGUUCGCCAACUUUUGAUCCCCUAAUAUUUGCUCCAAACCCAAUUCCGUAGAUAUCGUUAUGGUUAGAACUUGUAGAUGCUCCAAGAUCUGUAGCUCCUUCACUGAGCUAACAUCUCCAUGAACAUUGGACUUUAGUAGUUUCAAAAUUCUUAAACUCGAAACCUUUGAUAUCUCACUGAUACUCCGAAGUCUGUGUGUAGAAGUCAAAUUUAGCUGGAUUAGCUUUUUCAACUCUUGGAAACCAACAGGCAGUUGCUCUAUACUUGUAUUCGACAAGUCAAGAUACUGUAAGGAGGUCAGCUCUGAUAUCUGCUCUGGAAGUUAAUUGAAGUUAUUAUUACCGGAUAAAUCCAAAACAAGUAGUUUUUGCAUAGAAAGGAUGAAUUCACUUGAGAGACUCUUCAAUUUAUUAUCCUGGAAAAACAUAGUUGUAAGUUCAGAACACUUGGAACAGCAACUAAUCUCUUCUAUCGCAUUACACAUUAAUGAUAAAAUUCUCACAGGUCUCCAAUCUUCAACUUUUGGUGUCUCACGUAAUCCGACUCGCGCUUGCACAACACAAAUUUCUUUCGGUUUUCCAAAGUCAGAUGCAAUCCAUAGAGCCAUUUCGCGGACUAUGUCAAUGAUGAUAGACUUAUUCGUAGAUUUUCAUUAAUGGUAGAUUUAUUUUCCUAGUAGUGGUAGAUUUAUUGUCAAAUGAUGAAAGAUUUAUUUUUGUAUAGGUUUAGUAUACAGUAGAUUUAUUUUUGAUAUAAUGAUAGAUUUAUUUUGGAUUUUAUGUAUUUAUCUUCUUCUCUAGUAGGUUAUUGACGACGAAUGGUGGAUCAAAAGAUAAAUAAUAUGAUGGAAGUGGAGUGAGUUACUAGCACGGAAAUGGAGAUUUGUUUAUCAAAAAAAAUAUUUGUAGAUUUGUUUGCUUGAAUAGUGGUAUUUGUUUAUUUAAUGGUAAAUUUAGUUUAGGAUUUGAUAGAUUUAUUCGAAAUGGUAGUAAAUUUCUUUUUAAAUAAUAAUUUAAUAAUUGCUUAGUAGUAUAAUCAAAAUGAAUGAGAUAUAAACUAAAAACAUAUGAUACAACCCAAUAAUAUAAAACAAAUUAAAAUACAUAUUCAUUUUAUAUACCAAAAAAGAAAAUAAACAAACACAAAUAAAUAAAAAACCAUUUGUCAUUUCUAACACAAUCAAGCAUUGUCUAGCAAAUAACCAAAUAUCAUAAAUGGUUCAAUGUAGAUUAAAGUAAUAAUACAACUUUUCAUUUGUUAUUGACAUUUUAGUACUUCAAAAAAUUCAUAUAUCAAACUAAAUCAGUCCUUAUAAUUAAAUGCAUUUUUCAAUUAAUUUUAAACCCACUUUUCCUCUAAUAUCCCAUAGGAUAUCACCGAGGAGGUAGGUGGUCUUACUUUGCUAAGCUUCAAAUUGUAUUGUCUUCACUUUUCAGUAUAAGACUAAUAAACAUUUAGUUUACAAUUUUGAAUUUUCUAAAUGGAGUAGGCCGAGAUCAGGUCCAGGCUAUUGAUGCGAACAAAUCUUACAAAUUGCAAACGGCUAUUUGCUUUGUGUUAGCAUUGGUCCAUUGAAUUUUCAAUUUUUUUAAUAACUUAUAUUGAGUCAUAUGGAAAUGGACAACACUCAGCGGUAUCAGUUCUUAUCAGCACCGCUGCUUUGUAUGUAGUCGCCGUCUGCUUUGUAUCGUAAAAGAAAGAAGAUUGAGUUUUGCCAGAAUCUACUCUACAAGAUUGUUGUAGUUUCUGGACACGCAGCUAAUUCAAAUGACGAACCAAUGUUCAAUGUUCAAGACCGGUGGGCAGUGAAUAAUUGAGCGUAUCAAAUUAGGCUUGCGAAUUUGUUUUUUGCUGAAGAUUUGUUCUUGGGCUCUUGUUUUAAUGUUCUUAAUGUGGUGAAGCCAUUAGGAAAGGAAUGUGAAAACUCUUAAAAUUAAGAAGACUCUUUCCAUGUCUUCUUAAGUGAAGUUGUCUCUUAAGCUUAUUGCCCCAAAUCAGAAAGCCACUAGAUAUAGUUUGGGAUUAGAUGGAAGUCAUAGCAUCUUCAGAUUAGGUUUAGGGGGUUUAAAUUAGAGAGUCUGAUAAACAGGAUCUUCAUGAUUCAGCAAAAUCAUAUAACUUUUCAUCUUGAUUCCUCCUGUUAACAACACAUAUACACUUCAAGAUGAAAUAGAAAAAGCUACAGGUAGAGGAAUUUGAUUUUGGAUAGUGAGGAAUCAAAAUACACAGUAAAUUCAGAGGCAUCACAUGCUUUUAUGAUAUCUCCUUUCACGUAAAAGCAUAAAAACUGUUGAUUAUAUAAAUACAUGUAGCUUGAGAAAAAAGCAAUCCGCCUUAACUUAUUACAUAGAAAAUUGAAAAUAGAAAAUCCAAUUGAACAACACAACACACUGCAGAGAGAGAGAGAUAAGAAUGCAUAGAAAAAACAAUAAUACAAUCCAAAUGAACAACACAUCACACUUUGAGGAAGAAAGAGAAAGCAGAAGAAGAAGCGUGGAUUCUGGUUUCUGACUGUGAGGAAUCCCAAUCCAGCUUCUGGUGUGGUUAGUCUAUACUGAAUAUGUUAAGAAGAAAUAAAAUAAACAAAGUUAGUGAAUAUUCAGAAAUUCAUCUAAGACUGCUAGGAAUAUCCAGCAAAUUCUGCCUCACCAUUAAUAUACUAAUUUUAACCAGUUUCUAUUAAAUAUUUUUAUAUAUGCCUUGCUUAACGAAUGUGAAAGGAAAAGAAGAAGAAAGAAAAUACUGUUUGUGAUUUAGUCAUUUGAAGAGCUCAAUGCACGUAUGUAUUUAAACUUUUGAAAUUGACCCCUCGUAAAUAUCCAACAAACACAGGUCUGAUGAUUUUGCAGAUAAUUUUCUAAUUUUGUGACCCAAUUUGUGUUUUGUUGGGUAUCAUGAUGCAAAUGGAUCAUAUCAGACUAAAAUAAAACGAUCACACUUCAUUCUAACCUUGAGCAAACUUGACAGAAACUCAGUAAGAUAAAUUAAUUUAUUCAAGCGGAAGAGAAUAAGAGAAAUGAUUACCCAAAUGACCGAUGGCAGGAAACGUUUUUUUGUAUCUUCAUCCUCCCAUUCAAGCUCAGUUUUCUGUUCUGGAGGAACCAUAGAUAUUUCAAACCCGUCAAGUCGUGGGACACUUGUAGCAUCUAAAGGAAGCUUUCUCAGCUUUGGACAAUUUCCUACAUAUAUGUACCGCAAUGAUGGAAAGGGGAGAGGACUCCAGUAGAUACUCUCCAGCUCAGGCAGAUUUCUCAGGGAUAAGUAUUCUAGUUUCUGAAAUGGUGUAGUACUUGUAAGAUUGGUUGCUUUCUCUUUGUUUAUGAUUUCUUCUACUUCUCCUAAAUGUGAAAUGUCUAGCCAAGUCAGAUUUGGAGCAAAGAGUAGCCAAGUCAGAUCCUUAAUGCUAUCGCAGUUUCUCAUAUUCACGGCGGAGAGGUUGGUAAAGCAUGGACUCGUCUUGCUUCCUCUGCAUUUAAUAUAUGUAUCAAUCGCCGACACAUGACUACCAUCCACCUGGAGCAGACGAAGAUUCUCCAUACUCAACAGCGAUGACAUAUUGAAUGGCUUUUCUUUAAAACCUUGAAUACCCAGACGACUGAUGCAGUUAGCCAACCUUGGAUCGCCUAAUAUAUGCUUCAAACCCAACUCGGUAGAGAUCGUUAUCUCUAGAACUUGUAGAUGCUCCAAGAGCUGCAGCUCCUUCAACAAGCUAACAUCUCCAUGAACUUUAGAAUUUCUUAGUUUCAAAAUUCUUAAACUCGACAGCUUUGAUAUCCCACUGAUACUACGAAGACUGUUUGUAUAAGUCAAAUCCAGAUGAAUUAGCUUUUUCAACUCUUGGAAACCAACUGGCAGUUGCUCUAUACUUGUGUUUGACAAGUUAAGAUACUGCAAGGAGGCCAGCUUCGAUAUCUGCUCAGGAAGUUUUUGGAAAUAGCGAUUAUCUGAUAGAUCCAAAACAACUAGCUUUUGCAUAGAGCCGAUGAAUUUACCUGAGAGAUUCAUCAACUCAUUCUUCUGGAGGAGCAGAGUUGUAAGUUCAGAACACUUGGAACCACAGGUUAUCUUUUUAAGCUCAUUCUUCAUCAAAGACAUCCUUCUCACAGCUCUCCAAUCCUUGACUUUUGGCAUUUCGUGUAAUCCGACUCCUGCUUGAACCAAAAAAGUCUCUUUCUGUUUCCCAAAGUCGGAUGCAAUCCAUAGAGCCAUUUCGCGAACCACGUCAUGCAUCACAAGAUUCACAACACAUCUUAGUUUCAAAAUUCUAUUAGACUGUUCUGUCAGUAAAUUUGCGCGGAUAAGGGUACCAAGUACCUCAUAACCCUUAUUCACUGCCCUUUUAUAAGAUUGGUGUUCCCCAAUGAAUCCCUCACAUAUCCAAUAUUCUAUCAAAUUUUCUUUAUGUAUAGGAAAAUCUUCAGGAAACAGAGCACAAUAGAGGAAACACGACUUGAUAUUUUCACCCACCAAGCUAUCGUAGCUGAACUUCAGAAUCGGAAGAAUUUUGUUUUCCAUGUCGGAAAACUCUGCAGCUGAUCUGGACAAAACAUCGACUGCAAGCUCCCAUUCUUGUACCGUAGUUUGAGAUGACAUUGUCUCACCAAUGACAACAAGCGCUAGUGGCAGACCACAACAUUCUUUAGCGACCUUUUUGGCAAGCUCGACAAUGGCAGGAUCUCUACUUAAUGUAUUGUCUCCUACCUUGCUUUUGAACAAUUCCCAUGCUUCAGUCCAUUCCAAACAGUUGACUUUCAUCGGCUCAUGAUCUCCCAUCCGCCCACAUACUUCCCGAGAACGAGUGGUGAAUGCUACUUUGCAUCCAUUUUCUCUGGUCGGAAACGGAACUCCAAUGGCUUCUAAAUCCACUUUCUCCCAUAUAUCAUCUAACAUCAGAACAAAUCUCUUCCUCUUUAAAACUCUGUGUAUAUCAGCGGCCUUGUCAUCUUCACUUUUGUUCGUUCCGCCAAGGUUUAGCUUUUGUGCAAUAUCUUCUUGAAGCUUUGAAAUAGUCGCACCUUGAGACACCACGACCCAGAUCACAACAUCAAAUCUACCAGCCACUUCAGUGAACUUAUUGUGGAUUUUCUUGAAAAGGGUAGUCUUGCCUACACCUCCCAUACCGUGCAAACCCAUGAUUCCAACUCCAUCUUCCAUAAGGCGAUUCCAUGCCUUUCCCAGCAUUGUUUCCUGACCAAUCGUAGGCCCCGUAGGCCUCUCUUCUACUGCAGAUCUCAAACCCGGCUCAGUAACCUCUUUAGAAUUACCCUCUGAUUUGAGAAUCUGGACCUCUUCCAGCAACAAGAAUACCUUUUUCCCAUAUUUGUAGCUCGAACAUACACUUUUUGAACAUAAACCACAGAGACACAACUUCUUAAGCUCAACAGGACUAGUACUAAGCAGAUCAUUGAACCGUGUAUCGAUGCUCUCGACACGUGUUAGCCAUACCUUGACAGCUUCAAGCCUUUGUUGAUGUUGUGCCUCCUCUCUCGCCACUUUGUUCUUCACCUCAGCUUCAAUUGCCUUGAGAUCAUCCAUUUCCCUCUUCAGAGCCCUGAGAUUCUCCUUGAGGUUUCGAAUAUAACCCUUACCACAUAAGCAUCUGACGAUAUGGUUCAACGUUUGAUCACAGGAAAGUUGGAAAGACACACAAUUCCCCAUGGUGAUAGAAAGAGAGAAAACUUUGAGUAAGCAACAAACGAAAGCUAAAGAUGAAGAAGUGUUUUAUGUGAAAAGCAUUUAACUAAUUCUGAAGAAGGAAGAGAGGAUUAGUUAGAUUUUAGUCUACUAUGCGUUUUAAUUUCCGCCAUUGUUUCGAAGGACGUUUAGUCGUUUACUUUAGAUGCAAUUAUGUUUGAAAAAUUCAAAGGUCAAUUACCAACUCUUAUCAUUAUUAAGAUGCAACUAUGUUUUAAAUUAUACAAAGGUCAAUGAUUUAAUCGCCCAGUUUGGAUUAUUAUGCAACUAUGUUUUAAAAAAACAAAGCUCAAUUAAUGUUUAAUCACUGGGUUUGGAUUAUUAUCAUCACUUGUUGUUAAUUAUUUAAAUCAUUCACUUUCAAAUAUUUGUGAAAAAUCAAUUACUUUAGAAUAUUUUCCAAAUGACAUGGGAACCAAUAACCAUGAUCAAAAACGGUGUGGUGCGAUCGCCCGAAGCCAAAAACAACUUACAAGAAAUCUGGAACAGAGCAGACAAUGGAGAAGUCUAAGGAGCUCGUCAAGGAUAGAAAUCUGGAACAGAGCAGACAAUGGAGAAGUCUAAGGAGCUCGUCAAGGCUGAGAACUCAGAAUGGCCUCCAAAUUUUAUCUGCACCUGAAUUCAGAAUGGCCUAACAAAAAGUGCAGAAUGGCUUAUAAAAAUUGCCCAUACCAAGCAAAAAAAAAAAAAAACAAAGUCAGUCAAUAACAGAUAUCAGUCUCGAAGUUGCUUUUUUGUUUCACCAAAAAAAAAAAAAGAAGAAGUUGCUUCUUUUGUGGGAAAAGCAGAGGUCAUAUAAAGGCUAAUUGUUACAAGUUUCAGAGGAAAGUAAAUCAGUUUUAGAAUCAUCAAGACUAUAUGGAAAAACCAUUGAGAUUCACAGAAGCAAAGAAUUUUAUUUUGGACAUUGAGGAAUAAAAAUCUAAAAUCAAAAUCCAAAGGUACAUUGAAGGAUGUUUAGACCCAAAACGGCUACAAAAGAAAAGAAAAAAAAAAGUUAGUGACACUUGUGGAACGCAUUGAAAUUGAGAGGGACAACAUAUUCUGAAAAUAAAAUUCCUUUUCAACAUGUCUGCAGGGAUUAUCCAACUAGUUCAACCUCACCAUUAAUAUCUUAAGAAGCUGAACUAGGUUUAAACGGUCUUGUUGCGGAUAUCACCAAUAUCAAUUCGUUCAAAUUGAGUUUCCGAUCUGAAUCUUAAGAUGAAAUAGAAACGAGAAAUAAGCAUUAGAAACUACACACAAGAUUUAUCCAGUUUAGGCGCCAACCGCGACCCUACAUCUGGCAGAGACUUCCUCGGAAUUCACUAAGAGAAUGGUUUACAGAGUAGCCGUUACUCUCACUGGAAGAUACCCCGAGAAUCCCUUUCACUCACCGGAAAGAUCUCACAGUUUUCACUCACCAAUUACAAAAAAUGGUAUGUCGAAGAAGAUCUCUCUCUCUCUCUCUCUCUCUCUCUCUUUCUCUCUCUCUCUCUCUCUCUCUCUGCAACUAAUUAAUGACCGACCCGUAGUAACAAACCGAAACAACCCCUGCGCGUAAACACACGCUCUAACGGUCACUCUUCGAUAUCAGCUUCUAGAAGAAGCUCGUAACGAUGACGUCUUGGAGUCUUACCUUAUCCGGUUCACUUAAUCCUGAAAUCAAUAUCCUGACUUCAUUAACCGGAACCUGCUAAUUGAACUAGAUGGUUUAUCAACCAAACCCAUCUGACAGGUUUUUUAACUUUCUCUUUUAACAUUUUUCUCCUCCCAUAUAUUCUUUGCUGAACAAGAAACCCAAAUGCCAAAUGUGAAAGAAAAGAAGAAGAAGAAGAAUUAUUUGUGAUUUGAUCAUUGAAGAACUCAAUACACACAUGUUUUAUAAUUUUGGAAUUAAUGAUACCCCAUACAAAUCCACCAAACACAUGUUUAUUUUCAACGUAAUUUUACAGUUUGUGAUCCAGAUUGUGUUUGUUGAGUAUCAUGAUGCACAUAUGGAUCAUAUCAGUCUGAUAAAACGAUUCAGACCUCAUGCUAACCUUGAGUGAAAGAAACUCAGUAGUAAAAAUAAUUACCCAAACAGAAGAGUUUAAAGGCAUCUCCUAUGUAUAAUUCUAUAUUUUACUCUAUUUAGAUACUCUAUUUUAAAGUAACUUCAAAAUGGAAUUGUGUUAUUGUUGACAAUCUUCCCUUCCUCUUACAUUCACUCUGGUUUGAUUUCUUUCUCUCUUUCUCUCUCCUUCCUUUCUCUCAGUCUCUCUCUCUAGUUCUUGCUCUGUUUCACUCAUUGUUAUUGUUUGCUUGUUCUAUAUUGUUUGCUUGUUCUAAGUGAAAACAAGAAGAAAGUUAGAGAAAACAUUUAAUAGGCUACAUCUUUGAUAUUUGAUCUUUCGAUGCUUUUCUUACACAAACACAACACAUACACUUAUACUACUUGAUACUUGAACUCACUUGGACUCUAGACUUAACCACUUCUUCAAUGCCAUACUUCUAGUACUAGACUAGUUGUACAAGCAACCUUACUUCAAACAUCAUUACCUUUAACAACUCUUAACUAUUCUAACAACUCUUAAAGUAUUCUAACUCUAUACUUAGACACAUACACAAACUCGAUAUUUUGGCUUCUUGGGCUGAUGACAAUUCGCAGGCCCAUUACUCUUAAACAAGAAGCCCAAUCCCUUUCUCCAGAGUUGACUUCUCUUCUUGGUUGACUCUCUUCUUCUUCUCUGAUUCCUUCUUCCACCACACGAGACUUCAUCUUCUUCCUUUCUUCUUCUAAUUGAAGCAACUUUCUUGUUUGCUAGAUUUAAUCAAGGACUCAACCUUCAACAGUUAUCCUCCAAUUUUAUUCCAUGGAGUCAUGACUAAAAUAUUUAGAGUAACUCCAUUUUUAGAGUAACUGUAACAUCCCAAACCCAGCCCAAUUAGAGGAGGCCCAGCAAAUCCAGGCCCACUCCAGAAACCCUAAUAUAAAUAGAGAAUUAGGAGUUAAUGAGCCUCAUUUUGCCUAAUUACCCUAGCCCCCAAAGAAAAGAAAGUGAGAGAGAGAAGGAGAAGCUGCACGCCGUCGCCGAGGACGAGAGCCGCCGCCGCCGCCGGAGAAGGGUGCCGCCGCCGCCGCCGCUUGCCGAGAGAAGAAGGAGCACUCGCCUGCCUCCACCUUCUCAGAAGUUGCUUGAUUCUUUUGCCUCUUCUAGUUCUCCUUAAUCUCAGAUCUGCUUUUAGGCCAAGGUGAGGAUUAGAUCUAGGUCUUUCUUCUUAUCCCUUUAUCUUCUUCUGUUGUGUUGAGUCUAGAUCUGGUGGGACAGGUAUGUCUUCUUGUGCAUCUAGGCAGAUCCAUAUAUAUAUAUANNNNNNNNNNNNNNNNNNNNNNNNNNNNNNNNNNNNNNNNNNNNNNNNNNNNNNNNNNNNNNNNNNNNNNNNNNNNNNNNNNNNNNNNNNNNNNNNNNNNGUAGAAGUCCUAAAGGUCAUAAGUCUGUUUCUGUAUAGUGAUGUUGCCGAAUGCAGGCUUUGUUUGCUGGGUUAUGUUGCCGUCUGUGUGACCGUGGCAAUAAUCCAUUCAUCCGGUGGAGUGAUGACCCACGGGGCUGUCCGUGUGACAGGGUCUCUGUCUGUGUGACAGGGCGUCUGUCUGUGUGACAGGGUGAGAUGUCGACCUGUGUCCGAGUGACAAGGUGGUUUGGCCUAUUGAGAGGCGGGAUCGGAGACAUCACUGCUUGUUAGUUGCUUGUGCACUUGUAGAGUGCUUGUUUGGUUUCAUUAGAUUUAUUCUUAAUAUGUUGGUGGAAAUAAAUGAAUAAGGCGGGAGCCUGGUUUGGUUCUCACUGAGUAAUUCUUCCAAAUUACUCACCCCUCUCUCUCUAAAUUCCGAUGUGCAGGUGAAUGUGAUUGUGAUUGUGAAUGUGAUGAUGUCUGGGAAGAAGUAGACGAGUAAUUCUAGUGUGGUGUGCCUUCAGAAAUGGAGGAAGUUUUAUUGUUUUCAAGAACUAUUUCACAUUUCUUCUUAAGACAAUGUUUCUAUUUUAUUUCAGAUUUCAUAAGUUAUUUCAUUUCUAUGGUAAGACUUAGAUUUGGGUUUGGAUUUGAAUAAAGAACAACAAGUUAUUUGGAAUUGAUUUAGUUUAGGUUAGUUAAUAUCCCGGUUUAUUCUGGUUUCCUUCGGAAGCAGGAAUCGGGGUGUUACAAUUUGGUAUCAGAGCAUGGUUCGAACUAGGUGUUAAGAGAGCUAUCUAGAAUAGUGGGAAUGGGAUUCGGAUUUCAAAAAAAAAAUGGUUUAAAAAGUUUUUAAAAGUUUUCAAGUUUUCAAAGUUCAAAGAUUUUUCCAAAUGUUUUCAAAGAAAGAAAACUACCACCUAGACUGGCCUCUCUAGUUUUUGUUGUUCUUUUCUUUUGCAGGAAGUUAGUCUUUACGGGACCGGACUGACUUAUCUGCCUUUUAUAGUUUUGUAAGCCCGAGGUUGACCAAGUGUUGGACCUUCUCCGGAAAGUUCACCCCCAGAUUGAAAGCAGUGGAAACUGCUGGAAGUGAGCAGGUGAAGACCAUUGGAAUCCAUGAAGAGGUGCCUAUCUUGUUGGAAGGAGCAGAUUUUCCUUGGACUCUAGUGAAAAUGAAGUUGGGCCACUAUGAUGUUAUCCUUGGAAUGGACUGGCUGAAGCAUUAUGAAGUUGUCCCGAAUUGCCGGAAGUCGAGGGCCUAUGUUCCGUAUCAAGGAGGUCGGAUUGCCUUUCAGGGAGUAAAGACCGACACCGGAGUGCCAGUCAUUUCGAUGAUUCAUGCCGAGAAUCUUAUAGAGGAAGGAUGUGAAGCUUUCUUGGCGACAGUCUCUAUGGUAGGAGAGGGAGCACCUAAGAGCCUUGAGGAGAUACCAGUGGUGAAUGAAUACGCGGACGUAUCCAACCAUUGACUGGACCUCCGCCAAGAAGAGGAGUUGACUUCACUAUCGAAUUAGAACCAGGAACAGCCCCUGUUUUGAAGGUUCCAUAUCGAUUGGCACCAGCAGAGAUGGCUGAGCUAAAGAAGCAGUUGGAGGACUUGACGGAUAAAUGAUUUAUUCGGCCAAGCAGCUCGCCAUGGGGAGCGUCCGUGCUAUUUGUAAAGAAGAAAGAUGGAAGCUUUCGACUUUGCAUUGAUUAUAGAGGGCUGAAUAAGGUGACCAUCAAGAAUAAGUAUCCCUUGCCAAGGAUUGAUGAGUUGUUGGACCAGUUAGAAGGAGCUUCAUGGUUCUCUAAAAUUGAUUUGGCGUCAGGCUAUCACCAGAUUCGGAUAGCAGAGGAGGACAUUAGUAAGACAGCAUUCCGAACUCGAUAUGGUCAUUAUGAGUUUGUGGUAAUGCCGUUUGGAUUGACUAAUGCGCCUGCAGCUUUCAUGAAGUUGAUGAAUGAUAUUUUUUUAGAGCACUUGGAUAAGUGUGUGAUUGUCUUUAUUGAUGACAUCCUGGUCUAUUCAAGGUCGGAGAGAGAGCAUGAAUGGCAUUUAGGAAUGAUUCUGCGGAAGUUAAGGGAUCAGCAGCUUUUUGCGAAGCUAAGCAAGUGUAGCUUCUGGCAGAGGAAGAUGGGAUUCCUUGGCCAUAUUGUCUCAGAAGAGGGAGUAGCAGUGGAUCCUGAGAAGAUCACUGCAGUGACAGAGUGGCCUGUACCUAAAAGUGUUACUGAGGUCUGUAGCUUUUUGGGUCUGGCUGGGUAUUAUCGUAAGUUUGUGCCUAAUUUCUCCCGUAUUGCCAAACCUCUCACCAGCUUGACGGAGAAGAAUGUUAAGUUUGAGUGGAUGGAUAAGAGAUCUCAGAGUUUUGAGGAGUUGAAGCAGAAACUCACAGAGACUCCGAUAUUGAUACUUCCAAGGUCAGGAAUACCAUAUGAUGAAUACACCGAUGCCUCUGGAUCCGGGUUAGGAUGUGUGCUGAUGCAGGAAAAGAAGGUCGUAGCNNNNNNNNNNNNNNNNNNNNNNNNNNNNNNNNNNNNNNNNNNNNNNNNNNNNNNNNNNNNNNNNNNNNNNNNNNNNNNNNNNNNNNNNNNNNNNNNNNNNGCUUCGGAAGCAUGAAGUGAAUUAUCCGAUUCAUGAUUUGGAGUUAGCAGCAGUAGUAUUUGCUCUGAAGAUUUGGCGUGCUUACCUGUAUGGGGAGAAGGUGCACAUAUAUACUGAUCAUCAGAGUUUGAAGCAUGUGUUCACUCAGGAUGAUUUGAAUCUGAGGCAGAGGAGGUGGAUAGAAUUAUUGGCUGAUUAUGAUUUGGAAAUUUCCUAUCAUCCUGGAAAAGCCAACCAAGUGGCAGAUGACUUGAGUAGAAGGAGAAAUGCGGUUUCUGAGGCUAAGGAAACGCAGGAGCUGAUAGCGACUUUGGCGAAUUUGAGUUUGUGUGUCGCUGAAGUAGAGGAUGAUGCAGCAGGAUUUGAAGCAUUGGAUAAUGCUGACCUGCUGAUGAGGAUUCGUCAGGAGCAAGCGCAUUAUUUGUCCCUUAAGGAGAUUUUUGAAAAGCAAGUGGUUGGGUACCACAAAGCAGACAACGGGACUUACAUGUAUAGGAAUCGAGUCUGUGUUCCCAUGAAUGAUGAGCUAAGGAGGGAAGUGUUAAGUCAGGCUCAUCAGUCGAAGUUUUCUAUUCAUCCAGGGAACACCAAGAUGUAUCGGGAUCUAAACCGCUACUACCGUUGGUCUGGUAUGAAGCGCGAUAUUUCUGCUUGGAUAUCUCAGUGUUCUACAUGUCAGCAAGUGAAAGCAGAGCAGAUGGCACCAAGUGGACUUCUCCAAAACUUGCCAUUACCAGAAUGGAAAUGGGAUAUGGUAACUAUGGAUUUUGUGACGGGGUUGCACAGGACACUAAGUAAGAAGAAUGCGAUUUGGGUAAUCGUAGACCGUCUUACUAAGUCAGCUCACGCUUUGCCAAUUAAAAAGACGGAUGGAGCAGAGCAGUUGGCGCAGAAGUAUAUUGAUGUUAUUGUGAGGUUGCAUGGAGUUCCAGUGAGCAUAGUGUCGGAUCGGGAUCCAAAGUUUACAGCUAGUUUCUCGCAGGCCUUCCAGAAAGCAUUGGGAACAAAGGUUCAUCUCAGCACAGCAUACCACCCUCAGACAGAUGGCCAAUCAGAAAGGACGAUUAGGACCCUGGAGGAUCUGUUGAGAACGUGUGUCCUAGAUUGGGAAGGAAGUUGGGAGAAGCAUUUGCCUUUGGCGGAAUUUGCUUAUAAUAACAGCUAUCAUAGUAGCAUUGGGAUGGCACCAUAUGAGGCUCUAUAUGGUCGGCCUUGUCGCACACCUCUGUGCUGGACAGAAGUAGAAGAAAUGAGAGUGCUAGAGCCAGAGCUCCUUGAGGAGGCGUCUAAGCAAGUGGAAAUGCUUAAGACAAGGUUGAAAGAAGCUCAUGAUCGCCAGAAGAGCUAUGCAGAUCAGUGAAGGCAGGAGUUGUCUUUUGAAGUUGGUGAUAUGGUGUAUCUGAAGUUGAGGACCUUCAGAGAGAAUGAUAAGCAUCGGCUGAUGAAGAAGCUUAAGCCUAGGUACAUGGGACCGUACCCUAUCCUGGAAAGGAUUGGAGAAGUGGCUUACCGUUUGGAGUUGCCCAAAGAAUUAGCUGAGUUCCAUGAUGUGUUUUAUAUCUCUCUUCUGAGGAAAGUUGUGAGGGAGCCAUAACUCAUUUUGCCCCAGCCGCCAGCAGAUGUAAAGAAGGACUUCUCAGCAGCAUAUCAGCCUGAGGCAGUGUUGGAAUUUCAGGAAAAGGAGUUGAAUGGUAAGAGAAAACCAGCGGUUAAGGUGUGUUGGGAAAGGGAUGGAAUCCGCGAAGAAACCUGGGAAGUAGAGCAGAAAAUGCGGAAGGAAUUCCCGGAACUCUUUAAGGAUAAGGGAGAAACCGGAGGAGUGGGAGAGAAUUCGGGGACGAAUUCUAUGGAAGUAGGGGAGAGUGGUAACAUCCCAAACCCAGCCCAAUUAGAGGAGGCCCAGCAAAUCCAGGCCCACUCCAGAAACCCUAAUAUAAAUAGGGAAUUAGGAGUUAAUGAGCCUCAUUUUGCCUCUAAUUACCCUAGCCCCCAAAGAAAAGAAAGUGAGAGAGAGAAGGAGAAGCUGCACGCCGUCGCCGAGGACGAGAGCCGCCGCCGCCGCCGCCGCUUGCCGAGAGAAGAAGGAGCACUCGCCUGCCUCCACCUUCUCAGAAGUUGCUUGAUUCUUUUGCCUCUUCUAGUUCUCCUUAAUCUCAGAUCUGCUUUUAGGCCAAGGUGAGGAUUAGAUCUAGGUCUUUCUUCUUAUCCCUUUAUCUUCUUCUGUUGUGUUGAGUCUAGAUCUGGUGGGACAGGUCUGUCUUCUUGUGCAUCUAGGCAGAUCCAUAUAUAUAUAUAUAUAUAACUAAUAAGAUCUAGGAUCUCAUUAGAGGAAGAACCAGCAUGAUUGAUUGAUAACCCUGUUGAUUGGUUAGUGAUUGGUAGAAGUCCUAAAGGUCAUAGUCUGUUUCUGGUAUAGUGAUGUGCCGAAUGCAGGCUUGUUUGCUGGGUUAUGUGCCGUCUGUGUGACCGUGGCAAUAAUCCGUUCAUCCGGUGGAGUGAUGACCCACGGGGCUGUCCAUGUGGCAUGCCGGGAUUGGUCUGUCCGUGUGACAGGGUCUCUUUCUGUGUGACAGGGCGUCUGUCUGUGUGACAGGGUGAGAUGUCGACCUGUGUCCGAGUGACAAGGUGGUUUGGCCUAUUGAGAGGCGGGAUCGCAGACAUCACUGCUUGUUAGUUGCUUGUGCACUUGUAGAGUGCUUGUUUGGUUUCAUUAGAUUUAUUCUUAAUAUGUUGGUGGAAAUAAAUGAAUAAGGCGGGAGCCUGGUUUGGUUCUCACAAAUUAUUCACCCCUCUCUCUCUAAAUUCCGAUGUGCAGGUGAAUGUGAUUGUGAUUGUGAAUGUGAUGAUGUUUGGGAAGAACUAGACGAGUAAUUCUAGUGUGGUGUGCCUUCAGAAAUAGAGGAAGUUUUAUUGUUUUCAAGAACUAUUUCAUAUUUCUUCUUAAGACAAUGUUUCUAUUUUAUUUCAGAUUUCAUAAGUUAUUUCAUUUCUAUGGUAAGACUUGGAUUUGGGUUUGGAUUUGAAUAAAGAACAACAAGUUAUUUGGAAUUGAUUUAGUUUAAGUUAGUUAAUAUCCCGGUUUAUUCUGGUUUCCUUUGGAACCAGGAAUGGGGUGUUAUAAUAACUCUAUUUUUAAAGUAAUUCCAUUUUUUUAAUAGUAACUCUAUUUUGGAGAGAAAUAUGAAGUAGGUUUAGAGAGAAUUUUCUUCAAACUCUAUUUUGGAAUGAAAUUUGGAGUAGAGUAGGAGAUGUCUAAGAGAACUGAUUACCCCAUCAAAUGAACGCAAGAAACGAUUCUCGGUAUCUUCGUCCUCCAUUCAAGCUCAGUUUUUUGUUCUCGAGGAAUCAAUCUUAUUACAAACUGGCCAACUCAUGAGAAACUUGUAGCAUUUAAGGGUAGCUUUCUCAGCUUUGGACAGAGAUCAGCUACUAUGUGCUUCAGAAAUGGAAAGGCAAGAGGACUCCCGUAGAUACUCUACAGCUUAGGCAAAUUCCUAAAUGUUAUAAAUUUUAGUUUCUGAAAUGGUCUUAUACCUGUAAGAUUGUUACUUUUUUUUUUACAAUGUCUUCCAGUCUUCUUGAAUUUUCAAUCUGUAGGUAGACAAGAUAUAUUGACUAGAUUUUGUUGAAAAAUGUCAAUCUCUAAAACAUUGCUGCAGUUCGCCAACCUUCAAUCGCCCAAUAAUUGCUCUAAAUCCAACUCCGCAGAUAUGAUUAUGGUUAGAACUUGUGGAUUCUCCAAGAGCUGAAGCUCCUUCAAUAAGCUAGCAUCUCCAUGAAAAUUAGAAUAUUAUAGUUUCAAAAUUCUUUAACUUGAUACUUUUGAUAUCCCAUUGAUACUAGAAAGUCUCUAUGUAACAAUCAAAUUCAGCUGACUUCGCUUUUUAAUAUCUUGGUAGCCAACAUGGAGUUGCUCUAUACUGUAUACGACAAGUCAAGAUACUGCAAGGAUGCCAACUCUGAUAGCUUUUUCAUAAAGCGGAUGAAUUUACCUGAGAGAUUUUUCAAAUUGUCACUCUGGAGGAACAUAGUUGUAUAAGUUCAGAGCACUUGGAAAUGCAAGUUAUCUCUUUAAUCGUAUUCUUCAUUAAAGACAUCCUUCUCACAGCUUUCCAAUGCUUGACUUUUGGUAUUUCAUGUAGUCCAACAUAACCCUUAUUCUUCGCUCUUUUAAAAACUUGGCAUUCUCCAAUGAAUCCCUAGAUCACGUACUCUAUCAAUUUUUCUUUAUCUAUUCGAACAUCUUCUGGAAACAGAGCACAAUAAAAGAAACAUGACUUGAUACGUUCAUCCACCAAGCAAUUGUAGCUGUACUGGACAUUUUGCUAAUGUUGAGCAAACAUGACUUUAUCUAUAGAGGAAACAUGACUUUAUCUAUAGUGUUUUUGGUCAAUAGGUGGAAUGCAUUUAGCUAAUGACGAUGAAAGAGAGAGAGAUUGUGUUAGAUUUCAUUCCUCUUUGCUUUGUAAUUUCUCCCAUAGUUUCAAAGUCGUCGACUUGAUGCAACCAUGUUUUUAUAAAGAUGAUUAAUCCCCAGUUUCGGAGUAUUUUAAUCACAUUAGAUGCCACUAUGUUUUAAAAGACAAAGCUCAAAUUCGUUGACUUGAGCUUUUCAAGAACGAUUUGAAACGUGUGGCUGAUGUCCCAGAAAGAAAUGCACCUGAUUUCAGAAUGGCCUCCAGAAACCUGCACCAUACCAAGUAAAAUCAAAACAAAUUAAAGUCAGAUAAUAAAAAAUUAAAAGAGGAAUGCUUCUGGGGGACAACUCCUAAGCAGCAUUGCUCUUAGAUUUAGAAGGUUCAAGAAGAGAUUAUUUCUGUACCAGCAAAACUUGGCAUAUUCUGAGGCUUAAGGAGGAUAUAAAACGUUGGUUGAAAGCUGUGUGGUUCAAGAGAGCCACUCCAAAGCAUGCUUUCACCUUUUGGACGGCAAACUAAGACAGGUUACCACUGAAAACAAAGCUUGUGAGCUGGGGAAUUAAUAUCUCUCCAACAUGCUGCCUUUGUGACAUGGAGGAAGAGACUAGAGACCAUUUGUUUCUACACUGUCCAUUUUCUGAAGCAGUUUUGACCAUGGGGAUUCGGUGACUCGGAUUUUUUUGGAGUCUCAUUCUCUAAUUGGCAGUCCAUGAUCAACUGGAUGCUUCAACGAACACCAAGACUCUCCUCUACUUACUUGUUAUGGGGUGAACGAAACCAGAUAAUACAUGAUGGUCCUCUAUCUUCUGAAAACCAUCUCUUCGAUUAGUUGGAUAGACUGAUUAGAGACACAUUGUUGGCACACAAUCCCAGCGUAACUAUAGGGGUCUUCUAUCUCUUUGGUUUAAGAACCACUAGUUCUUCAAGCUCGAUUGUAAUUCUACUAAAAUGAUCUGUUUCCAAGCCUUUUUCCUUUUUUAGGCUUUUGAAACAGUGGCUGAGAGAUUUAUAGAAUAGUAGCGGAUUAAGCAAGAAUAUAGAGAGAUUUAGGUGAGAUUAAUGAAAAACUAAAGAAAAGAAGAGAGAAUCAAGAGAUUUAGAGAGAAAGAAAUGUAUUCUCAUUUUCUUAGAUCUAUAGAAAGCUGCUACAUUGUGUUUAAGUAGGAAGACAAAGAAAACUCUAACACAUAUGAGUAUACUAAAUACCUUAUAAAGUUUUAUAAAGUUUUAUAAAAUCUUAUAAAGUCUUAUAAAGUCUUUUAAAGUUUUCUAAUUGGAUUCCCACCAGAAAAGCUGAGAAUGAUCCAUCUUGUUUAACAGUGGCUAAUGUAAUAUACAAUAUAAUUCAAAUUUUAUUAAAAAAAAUAUAAGUUGCUUCUUUUGUGGGCAAAAAACAGGUCAUACAAAAGCUCGUCGUUAGUCUUUACAAGUUUCAGAGGACAGUAAUAUAUAAAAUCAUCAAAUAAUAUCGAAAACCCAUAGAAAUACACAAAAGCGUGUGUUCAAGAGGAAAGAAUUGUACAAGAAUAAUCUAUAACAUGUUGCAUCUAAUUGUGUCGAUGUUACAUGGGAUCUUCUUCGUCCAUCUACUAUAGUCAUAACAGGAUGUUAAAGCAAGACUUAAAGAUGAUGGAUCCGAGUCUGAAGUUACAGAAACGUGGAUUAAGCAAUAAAUUGGAGAUGAUGAAAAUAAGUUAUGCCCAAAGUAGCUUAUGAUGUGGAAGUGGGUUUUGUUUUUUUUUGCGAAUCCUAAAAGAUUAUUGUGUUGUGCUGAUUCUACGUUAGUCUUAGAAGAAUGGAGUGUGUAAAAUAGAGAAAAUUUUAUAAAAGAAGUAACGUUCAUAUGUAGAAAAGCAAGCUUUUGAAUGAAUAAUGGCUUGGUUUAUUUUUCUGUUGAAAGAAAAAAAAAAUUAUUUAAUAUUUCAAAACGAGUGUAAAAGUGAAAUACUUUCUCGCGAUAGAAAAAGUAUUUCACUUUCUCGCGACAGAAAAAAUAUUUCACUUUCUCGCGACAGAAAAAGUAUUCCACUUUCACUGCUGGUGAUCUAAAUGACGAUCCCAAAUAAACAAAUAAUAUUAGAAAUUUAUCUAUACACUAUUAUUUGCGAAGUUAAAAAUUUUAGGUAUUGUCCCCACAACAAUUGUUCUACGUGGCAUUAAUGAAAAAAUAUUAUUUAUUGUUUUAAUUUGUUUUAAUAGAUCGAUCAUUAAUCUUACGUGUAAAAACUUGUGACUUGGCUUUUUUCUUCGAUAAUGGGCUACAGAGUUUGUUCAUGGGCCAGCGAUUUUUUUUUUCACUCAUAGCCACCGAUUCUGGUAAUAGGGCACCGACGUCGAAACCCUAAACUCUAAAGAAUAUAUCCUACUAUAUAUACAUGUAUUAUCUACAUAUAUUUUUACAUACAACAACUGUCUUCAAGGUCUAGCAAUUUUUACAAAACUCGUCCACCUCUUUACACGAAUACAUCUUUUGUAUAUCCCAAUCUAGUUUAAAAUAUAUCGUUUAUUUAGUUGGUUGUUCUUCCAUGCUAACUUUUGAAUCGUUUUGUUCUGAUCGAGAUUCUUUUAUGCUAACCAGUCAAAUAUCUAUGUUUUUUUUCUAUCGUGUUCUAUAUUAUUAUGCAUCACAACUAUUUUAUUUUUUAAUCCCUGUUUUACUCUCUAUGCGAUUGGUCAUCGAGAUAUCAUAUUUGUGUUCUUUCUUUUGCUUUGUAAUUCUAUAUAUAAAAUUCGAUGCUUCAGUAUUAGAUAUUCAUGUUUCUCUUUAUUAAAUUUUUCUUAUGGUUAUAUUGAGUUAUUAUUCGUAAAUAUAGAUUGACCUGAGCUUCUUUAUUGUUUUCAUUGAACCUAGAGUUUAUCGUGCAAACUAUAGGUGAUUGGUUCAAACUUUUGCAAUCAUAUCUUCAAAUGAAUCUAACAGGUAAUUGUAAAUAAAUCAUUAGUACUUUUUUUUGUCAACAACUUAUUAGAACUUCCAAUUUUCUUAAUUGAUAUUCGUAAACUCUAUAAUUUAUUAUUUUGAUAUUCUUAAAAGGAUCAAAACCAUAGAAAUGAGUUUUUUUUUUGUGUGUAUAAUUCAUGUUUUAGUUUAGGUUUGUAUUAAUUUUUCUGGUAACAUAUUGUGAAUGAAUGUUAUUUAUUGUUUGAUUGUUUGAUUGUUCUUUGUUUCUCCUUGGGUUCUACUAUACAUUUUCUUUAUAUUGUUGUUUAUGUUUAUUUUUAUUUCUAAAUAUAAUUUUAUGGUUUUUGUGGUAGCUUUUGUGGACAUGUAAAAAAAAAAAAAGGAGUAACCAUUUCAGAUUAAUUUUGGUUUCAUAGUUUACUAAAGAUAUGUAACAUGAACAAAACGUCUAUUGUUUUAUAAAAUUCCCAUUGUUUUCUACCCAAAGGCAAUUAUGUUGGUUCUGGAAAAAAUGUUUUAUAGUUUUGCUUUUUACCCAACACAUUCUUUUAUCAGAAAAACAUUAAAUCACUCUCAAGAUUAAACUUAUCAGGCAUUAAAGCAAUAUUUUUGUUGGUAAGUCGAUGAAUGAGAAUGUGAUGUCUCAUAACUUCAAAGAGCAAAGGAAAAAUAAGUGACAACGAGACUAGAUUCGGUGUGAGUAGAAUCUUUACGCAUGUUAAGUAUUUGUUGAUAUACAGCAAUCAUAUUGAGAACAGAGUGCAAACCAAUUGCAAAUUGCACCAUCCAAUUGGUGUUAAAUUAUAUUAUGGUUAAUCCCUGACCCAUUUCUUAGUUUCAUCAUUAAUUAAUGAAUCAUCAGUUUUUUUUAACCCCUGAUGAGAGAUAAAAUCAGCUGAAGGAAGGAAAGUCACCAAUACAGAGGAAGAAGAAUAUUUGCUAUAAAAUAUUCAGGUCUUAAUUUUCAUCAUCCUUGUAAUUUGUUUCAGCUUGCUAAAACUACUUUUUUAGUGUUGCAGACUUCAUCGGAAUACCUAAUAAAUUGAUGAUUCUCUGAUACCAGAAUCUAAGAAAUAUACUCACACGUGAUAAACUGAAAUUUUUGUGAAUUGCAGAAUGAACAUACUCACACGUUGCAUUUCUUAUAUGUUUUGAUGUGAAACAAGUAAUUCUUCUGUCAUAUAGCUUUGUUGCUUUAAAAUUAAUCAGUCUGCUAUUACCAGUUACUUUUAAAUCAGAAUUUCAUAACGUAAUGUGGUAGCAUAAUCCAAAUUUGUUGAUUUAAGUAGGAUAUCCCGAAUAGGAAAUGUUGUAGUUCGUGUAUGGCAUACUUCAAAUCUUAGAAUAUGUUUUGGCUUGAGUCUUCAAGAUGUGCUAGAUAGUUAUCAACUUAUCAUCUUGAGGAAAUGAACUUAAAGAAUUAUAUAAGAGAUAUACUCAUAAUUCAUAUAUACUAUAAUCCAUUUUAUUGCCAAUUUUUUUUUUUGAGUUAGAACCUAUAAAACUUAAAAACAUAUAUCAUGGUAGAAUCAAGUGUCAUCUCACUAAGACUUAUUAUGCUCAUAUAUGGUUCUAUUGAUUUUAAAAAAAAAAUAAUAAUUAAACAUACGAAUUAACCAAAAUAUAGUUUUAAAAGUUUUAAGGUCUGCUAUGUUUUUUUAAAGUGUUAGAGCAUUUUCAUCCCUUAAAUCUAUUAGAGGUUCUUAAACAUAUUUUAAUAUUAAAUUUGUCAAAUAUUUUAAUAUUAAAUUUUAAACUGCUUAUCCUAAUCAAUUAAAACACGACACCUAGCUAAGAGAUUCAUUAAAAUCGAUCCUUAUUUAAGAAUCACAAUAACCAGUCCUUAAAAUUAAAUGCAUUUUUCAAUUAAUUUUAAACCCACUUUUCCUCUAAUAUCCCCAUAGGAUAUCACCGAAGAGGUAGGUGGUCUUACUUUGCUAAGCUUCAAAUUGUAUUGUCUUCACUCUUCAGUAUAAGACUAAUGAACAUUUAGUUUACAAUUUUGAAUUUUCUAAAUGGAGUAGGCCGAGAUCAGGCCCAGGCUAUAACCGCUUCUUACAGGCUAUUGAUGCAAUCAAAUGUUACAAAUUGCAAACGGCUAUUUGCUUUGUGUUAGCAUUGGUCCAUUGAAUUUUCAAUUUUUUUUUAAUAACUUAUAUUGAGUCAUAUGGAAAUGGACAACACUCAGUUUAAUAAUAGAUGUCCGGUAUCGGUUCUUAUCAGCACCGCUGCUUUGUAUGUAGUCGCCGUCUGCAAGAAUCAUUCUGAGAAAUGCUAGACAAAAGUGAGAAAGACGAUUUCGUAAAAGAAAGAAGAUUGAGUUUUGCCAGAAACUACUCUACAAGAUUGUUAUAGUUUCUGGACACGCAGCUAAUUCAAACGACGAACCAAUGUUCAAGACCGGUGGGCGGUGAAUUGCGAAUUUGUUUUUGGCUGAAGAUUUGUUCUUGGGUUCUUGUUUUAAUGUUCUUAAUGUGGUGAAGCCAUUAGGAAAGGAAUGUGAAAACUCUUAAAAUUAAGAAGACUCUUUCCAUGUCUUCUUAAGUGAAGUUGUCUCUAGUUAUUGCCCCAAAUCAGAAAGCCACUAGACAUAGUUUAGGAUUAGAUGGAAGUCACAGCAUCUUCAGAUUUAAAUUAGAGAGUCUGAAAAACAGGAUCUUCAUGAUUCAGCAAAAUCAUAUAACUUUUCAUCUUGAUUCCUCCUGUUAACAACACAUACACACUGCAAGAUGAAAUAGAAAAAGCUACAGGUAGAGAAAUUUCAUUUUGGAUAGUGAGGAAUCAAAAUACACAGUAAAUUCAGAGGCAUCACAUGCUUUUAUGAUAUAUCCUUUCACGUAAAAGCAUAAAAAAACUGUUGAUUAUAUAAAUACAUGUAGCUUGAGAAGGAAGCAAUCCGCCUUAACUUAUUACAUAGAAAAAUGAAAAAGAAAAUCCAAUUUAAAAACACAACACACUGCAGAGAUGUAUGAGACUGCAUAGGAAAAACAAUAAUACAAUCCAAAUGAAGAACACAUCAUACUUUGAGAAGAAAGAGAAAGCAGAAGAAGAAGCGUGGAUUCUGGUUUAUCACAGUGAGGAAUUCCAAUCCAAAUUGAGGGAUGGUUAGUCCUAAUAACUCAGUACUAUAAGAAAAAAAUAAAUAAACAAAGUUAGUGAAUAUUCAGAAAAAUACAUUUCACCUAAAACUGCUAGGAAUAUCCAGCAAAUUCUGCCUCACCAUUUAAUAUCUUAAUAAGAAGCUGAACCAAUUUUCAACAGUUUCUAUUAAAUAUUUGUAUAUAUUCCUUCAUUAACGAAUGUGAAAGGAAAAGAAGAAGAAAGAAAAUACUGUUUGUGAUUUAGUAGUCAUUUGAAGAGUUCAAUGCACAUAUGUAUUUAAACUUUUGAAAUUAUGACCCCUCGUAAAUAUCCAACAAACACAGGUCUGAUGAUUUUCGAGAUAAUUUUCUAAUUUUGUGACCCAAUUUGUGUUUUGUUGGGUAUCAAUGUAUCAUGAUGCAAAUGGAUCAUAUCAGACUAAAAAAAAAACGAUCACACCUCAUUCUAACCUUGAGCAAACAUGAAAGAAACUGAAGUAAGAUAAAAUAAUUUAUUCAAGCGGAAGAGAAUAAGAGAAAUGAUUACCCCAGCGAAUAAAAGGCAGGAAACGAUGUUUAGUAUCUUCAUUCUCCCAUUCCAGCUCAGUUUUCUGUUCUCGAGGAUACAUAUUUAUUUUAAACCCGCCAAGUCGUGGGACACUUGUAGCAUCAAAGGGAAGCUUUCUCAGCUUUGGACAAUCAUAUACUCCUAUGUGCCGCAAUGAUGGAAAGGGGAGAGGACUCCAGUAGAUACUCUCCAGCUCUGGCAGAUUUCUCAGGACUAAGUGUUCUAGUUUCUGAAAUGGUGUAGUACCUGUAAGAUUGGUUGCUUUCUCUUUGUUUAUGAUUUCUUCUAGUUCUCCUUCGAAAAUUUCUAGCCGAGUCAGAUUUGGAGAAAACAGUAGCCAAGUCAGAUCCUUAAUGCCAUGACAGCGAAACAUUGUCACGACGGAGAGGUUGGUAAAGCAUGAGCUUCCUCUGCAUUUAAUAUAUGUAUCAAUCGCCGACACAUGACUACUCACAUGGAGCUCACGAAGAUUCUCCAUACUCAACAGCGAUGACAUAUUGAAUGGCUUUUCCUCAAAUCCCACAAUACCCAGAUAAUUGAUGCAGUUAGCCAACUCGGUAGAGAUCGUUAUAUAUGCUUCAAACCCAACUCGGUAGAGAUCGUUAUCUGUAGAACUUGUAGAUGCUCCAAGAGCUGCAGCUCCUUCAACAAGCUAACAUCUCCAUGAACUUUAGAAUAUCUUAGUUUCAAAAUUCUUAAACUCGACAGCUUUGAUAUCCCACUGAUACUACAAAGACUCUUUGUAAAAGUCAAAUCCAGAUGAAUUAGCUUUUUCAACUCUUGGAAACCAACUGGCAGUUGCUUUAUACUUGUGCCCGACAAGUUAAGAUACUGCAAGGAGGCCAGCUUCGAUAUCUGCCGAUAUCGAUAUUACGUGAUAGAUCCAAAACAACUAGCUUUUGCAUAGAGCCGAUGAAUUCACCCGAGAGAUUCUUCAAAUGAGUAUUACGGAGGAGCAGAGUUGUAAGUUCAGAACACUUGGAACCACAGGUUAUCUUUUUAAGCUCAUUCUUCAUCAAAGACAUCCUUCUCACAGCUCUCCAAUCCUUGACUUUUGGCAUUUCGUGUAAUCCGACUCCUGCUUGAACCAAAAAAGUCUCUUUCUGUUUCCCAAAGUCGGAUGCAAUCCAUAGAGCCAUUUCGCGAACCACGUCAUGCAUCACAACACCUCUUCUACUAUUAGACUGUUCUGUCAGUAAAUUUGCGCGGAUAAGGGUACCAAGUACCUCAUAACCCUUAUUCACUGCCCUUUUAUAAGAUUGGUCUUCCUUGAUGAAUCCUUCGCAUAUCCAGUACUCUAUCAAUUCUUCUUUAUCUUCAGGAAACAGAGCACAAUAGAGGAAACACGACUUGAUAUGUUCACCCGCCAAGCUAUCGUAGCUGAACUUCAGAAUUGGCAGACCUUUUUUGCAUGCUCGACAAUGGCAGGAUCUCUACUUAAUGUGUAGUCUCCUACCUUGCUUUUGAACAAUUCCCAUGCUUCUUCUUGUCCCAAACAGUCGACUUUCAUCGGCUCAUGAUCUCCCAUCCGCCCACAUACUUCCCGAGUGGUGAAUGCUACUUUGCAUCCAUUUUCUCUGGUGGGAAACGGAACUCCGAUAGCUUCUAAAUCCACUUUCUCCCAUAUAUCAUCUAGCAUCAAAACAAAUCUCUUCCCUUUUAAAACUCUGUGUAUAUCGAUUGCCUUGUCACUUUCACUUUUGUUCGUUCCGCCAAGGUUUAGCUUUUGUGCAAUAUCUUCUUGAAGCUUUGAAAUAGUUGCACCUUGAGACACCACGACCCAGAUCACAACAUCAAAUCUACCAGCCAUUUCAGUGAACUUAUUGUGGAUAUUCUUGAAAAGGGUAGUCUUGCCUACACCUCCCAUACCGUGCAAACCAAUGAUUCCAACUCCAUCUUCCAUAAGGCGCUUCCAUGCCUCUCCCAGCAUUGUUUCCUGACCGAUCGUAGGCCCAGUAGGCCUUUCUUCUACUACAGAUCUCAAAACCGGCUCAGUAACCUCUUUAAAAUUACCCUCCGAUUUGAGUUUCUUAACCUCUUUCAGCAACAAGAAUACCUUUUUCCCAUAUUUGUAGCUCGAACAUACACUUUUU
rnacentral:lncRNA from 1 species